CAUUUGGUUAUGGUCCUCGGAUAUGCGUCGGACAAAAUUUUGCAAUGAUGGAAGCAAAAAUGGCUUUGGCAAUGAUCUUACAACGUUUCUCAUUUGAACUUUCCCCAUCCUAUGCUCAUGCACCUAUUAGUCUUCUAACUACGCACCCCCAGUAUGGUGCACACCUGAUUUUACAUGGACUUUAGCAUCAGAGUUCUUGUUAUCAGUGAGAGUUAGCAAGACCUUUAAACCUAGAUAGUGUUGAAUUUAAAAUGCCCACACUUCCUUUCACUUGAGUGCUCUUUAAAGUCAUUAUAUUAAUAAAAUUCUCUUUUGUAUGUUUGUAAGAGAUCAUAUAUAAAAAUGAUCACUUUACAAGGAGAUGCAUUUUUCUCUAUUCUUGUCCCCCCAAAAUGAAAAGAAAAGAAGAACUGCUGACAAUCUAUAUUUGGAGAAUGGACAUACAUUGAAAUUAUUUCUGAUGGGUGACCAUGCAUGUUGUGAUAUCUACAAGGAAACUACCAUUCCAAUAAUAGGAGAAAUAUUCUCAUUUGUUCUUAUCGUUAUAGAGUGGUGUCUCAUUCACUAUAAUUGGGUAGUAGACUCUUACGGAAUUUUAUGGCUAGGUAUCUGUAAAGAAGUUCGUACUAAAUUGGGUAGCAAGAUAAUACAAUUUUGGAGUUACUACCUCUAAGAAGUUGUCUGCGUACACUUGAUUCCGAUCCAUGUAAUGACAAAUUAUAAACCUCAGGGGCCCGGUCCACCCCCUAUUUUUACUGGAUCUACAAUUUUGCCAUUCUCCAAGAGUUUUAGACAACUUCACAAUGUUCCACAACCUUAACGAACCUUUUGGAUGAGCUUUCAUAUUCUUGGAGCAGCUUGAUGUGCUUGCAGUAGCUUUACAUGAUUGCUAUAAUCCCAUAUUGGAAGCUUAAGAAAGAGGAACCUCUCCUAGUACCUAUAACGACCAAUUGUUAUUUCACUUGAUUUCUUCAAGUGUUGUAUUCUUAUUUGCUUCUAGUUUCACUUCUGCAGCAAGCCAAACUCACUGGGAUGCUCAGAGUUUUUAGGUGCUCAAACACUACAUGGAUUUUUAGGAGAGAUCUUGGUCUACCAAAAGUGGUGGACGUGUUAGAAAGCACUAGCAAAAUAAAAAUAAAAAUAAAAAAAGAAAGAAAGAAAAGCCAAGAAAUCAUUGAUAAUAAAAUAUUCACAGUUGAUCUUGACAUGUGGAUAAAUUAUUUCAUAAUCAAGAAGUAUUCACAAUUGCAAAACCGCCCACAAGCUUACAUGCAUGCCCUUUUAGCUUUGUGCUAUAUAUUUAGAAUUUUGAGAGAAGCAAAGAAAGAAAAAUGAAGAAUAUUUUUUAACAAUUGAAUUUAAAAUCAUGAUGCACUUUCAUCUAUUUAUAGGCACGACAAUAAAUUAUAACAUUUUAUAUAUUUUAACUUUACAAAGUCUACCAAUGACUUUACACCUAUUCUAACAUUACAAUUUAUUUGUGAAUUUAUAAUGUAACUUCACAAUUAAUUUGUAACUUUACAACUUUUGUUUCUAACUUCAUAAUUGAUUCUAAAUUUACAACUUUUGUAAAUUCACAAGUUAUUGGUGCCUAUCUUCCACCUUUUGUAACUUUAUAAUUCAUUGUACAUGCAUUAUAAUAUUUUAAUUUCUAAAGUAAAUAUCUAUGAUUAAUUAACUUAUUUGUAUGUUAUGAACUCUUCAUAUUUCAAAGUUAAUUGUCUCUUAUCAAUAAGUUAAGGUGAGGACAUAUGGUAUGGGACCUUUGUGGGAUCUUUAAUUAAUUACAUCCUUAGUAAGUUUGUUAUGUUUGUUCCAAAUAAAUUUAUUAAUUAUAAUUAUAUUUAAAACGUAUUAUAAUUUCACCCUAAGAAUAGGAGAUAUAUAAGUCAACUUCCCACUUAUAUAUAUACAUAUUAAUCCUUCCAUGAAUUAAUAUUCAUAACAAAUUUAUUAGGUUGAACCAAGAUGACUGUCAUUACCAAAUUACAAGUGCAUCACCUCUUACAAUUAGAUCUUUAAGAAAAACAAUUUAAAAAUUCCUAGUAAACAACAUAUUAUAUUAUAGAUAUGUACACUUGAUAAAAUACUUAUUCCAAAUUGAACAACUAGUAUUUCAAUAUAUUUUGUAAGUGACACAAUAUUUAAUAUUCUCUCAUAAUACAGUCUGUUAUUAGACAUCAACGAUUAACUAUAUCAAAGCUACAUUUAUAUAACUUGAUGACAUCCUUAAGCCAAAGGACUUUAUGCAACACUAAACAAAACAAGUUUUUGUUGGAAUAUCUAGAUUACUCCAUUCCAAGCAUUGUUUCAUGGAGUGCAUACUACUACAAUCCUAAGGAUACUAGAUUUAAUGCAAUGGAAGCAACAAAAACAAAAAUGUUAGAUCUAGGUGCUCUAGAAAACAAUACUUAUUAUUUGAAUAGUCCUAGAUCAACUCUAGUUGGUCAAUAGUAUGAUUUAGAUCCUGAAAACAUUGCAAUUUGUUGUCUAAUGGCUCUCUCCUAAACCUUACAUGUGAAAAUGGUGGAAUCCUUUCUAUAGAGAUGGAGGCUAAGGCUCUAUCUUGUUUGAAGGUUGAAUAAUUGAAGUUAUAAGCCUUAAACCCUUAAUAAGAUUUAUAUAGUCUUUGCCUAUGGGAUUAAGUGACUUUUGCCCAUCUUGAGCUUAGGUCGGUUAAUCUAACCUAAUGGUUCCUAAUUAAUUAAUUAGUCAUAUUGGGAUACAAUUAAUUAAUUAGUCAAAUCCAGAAAGAUUGUUCAUAAGCUCUUAUGCAACUUUGUGUAUUUAUCAAAAUACCCUUAUACACACAUAUGAACAAAAAACCCUAAUAUCCUUCAAAUAAUUAAUGUGCCACCAAGGAAUAUGAACUUGAGUAGGGACUAUUAGGACCUAUAUAUAGGAAAAUAAAGGCCUCUUCAUAAUCUAAUUAUGAACUUAACUCAACACCAUCAUGCUUCCUUGCACCUUCUUAUACACACAAGGUUCAUUAUUGUUUUGACCAAAAUCAAGGGUCUUAAUUUCAUGUUCUAAACACUUGUUCCAUGAGCAAGAGGUGUGAAUUAAUCCAAAAUAGGCUUAUGCAACUUGCAUACUAGAUGCUCUCUACCCUUUGCCAUGAAAACAUCUGGUUGUAUCAUAUGAAUGCUCUCAUCAAGGUAGUCGUUUAAGAAUGUUGUCUUAACAUCCAUAUGACAUAUCUCAUAAUUGAGAUAAACUAUAAUGGAUAUGAGUACUUUGAUUGAUUUGAGUAUAGCUACCACAGAAAAAGUUUCCCACCGUCAAAACUGGGUUUCAAACUCUAAACCUUUAGCUAGAAGCCUAGCCACAAAAGUCUCAAUUGUUAGGAUAAAGGCUCAAAAGCAUGAGAAGAUGUCAUAAAAAAGUUUCCAUUAAUAAAGUUAUUUACUAUGAUUUCCAGAAUCCAUUUCUAUCAUUGAUUACAUUAAUUGUUACCCGAGCAUUCAAAGCUUGUAUCACUUACAUUGUACAUGACUUGAGUGCAUUAGGAGUUGCAUAAAGGAUCCACAACAAGGAUUCUUUGCAGGAUGAUAAGUAGUUCACUACCGGUUCAUGGAUUAGGGCAAUCCAUCAGAGACUAUAUCACACUACCUGACAAUUCGAGGGAUGAUACAAAUAGAAUUCAAGUACAAAUUGUAUGGCUUAUUGACAAAAAGGAAACUGCAUGUGUCAAAUGAAUUAAAGAAGGAAGGGUUCCCUUACAAACUAUUUUGUCUUGGUCAUUAGGAUGGUUUUCCCAUGGUGGGGCACUAUUAUGUAUGAUUACACAUUGGAUAAGACCUACAAUGAAUCAUGACAUUAGAUAUCGAGUAGUCAUGAUUCAUCAAGUUACUAUGUUGCAUGGGCUCUCAAUCUUAGAUAAUAUUGAGCUAGUAUUGAGGUCUUUAGUGACUUUAACCUAUGGGUGAGACCCUAAGGUGGUCAUAUAUUCUCUACAAAUUUGGUUACUAGUAAUUAAGGUAGGUGGGCAAUAGGUAUUCUCAAGAUAGGCACCAUUGAUAUCUUAUGGGUUUGAUAUAGUAUGUCUUUAUGGAUGAUCUUAAGGACAAGUGAUUAAGAAAUCUAUGGUCGUGGUAAUUCCUUAAUUGAAAAUUGACAUAUGCUCUUAGAAAGCUAGAGUAUGUCAAUUGAUCACACAAUAAGAGAAUUUGAAACUCAAGAAUUAGAGAGGUAAUCAUGAGUGGUUGAUAGCAAUCACCUUGUUAGAUUACAAACACCGAUUCAUAGGGACUCUCCAUUUAAUGGAUAGUAGGUCAUGGACCUAAGUUUAUACCUUAUUUUAAUAUCAUAGGAUACUAAAGUGUAGUUGGCCCUUUGAAGUGGAAUAUUAAGCUAUUUUUAGAAUUAGAUUAUAAGGGAGUCAAUAUUUUUCUAUGGAUCCAUGUAGUUCCCACUCAAGCUCAUAUUCCUUGGUGGCACAUUUAUUAAGAGAUAUUAAGGUUCCUUAUUCAUAUAUGUGCAUUAGGACAUUUUGGUAAAAAUAUAAGAUUACAUAAGAGCUUAUGAAUGAUUUUUUGGAUUGGCUAAUAAAUUAAAUUAGAGCCCAAUAAAACUAAUUAAUUCAUUAGGGCCUAAUGGGUUGGAUUAACUGACCUAAGCUUAAGGUGGGUUCAAGUCACUUAAGCCCACAAGAAAGCCUAUAUAAUACCCAAUAGGGGUUCAAGGCUCCAAACACUUGGCAUUCAAUCAUCUAAAGAAGAACCCUAGCCUCUACCCCUUCUAUAGAGGAUUCCACCUCCUUUCAGGCAAGAACCUAGGAAAGGAAGCAAUCAAGUGGAAGACUUAUUGGUUUUUAAGAUCUGCUAUGCCUCUUUAUCGAUUGCUAAUGAUAUAGGAAUAUCCAAAUCAUAGAUUUUACAUCUAAACUUAAUGUUCUAUUUGCUUCAAUUUCUUAGAUCUAGAGAUUCCUAGGAUAAAUUUUUCAUGAACCUAUGAUUUAAGGAUUGUCUCAACAUCAACCUUUCUAUUUACUCCUUUUUUUUUUUUUUUUUUUUUCUAGAUUGUUAAGACAUUGAGUCUUGUUUAUAUGUUGACAAUUUUGUUCCUUUUAAUGUUUGGCUAUAAAAGUCUUUUUAGAUUGUGACUUACUCUCUAUUGAAGAUUAAGAGUUCUUUUUCAUCCAACCGAGAAGUCAUACGUAUGUCUAAAAAGGUUUGGCUUGUGUCAAUUUAGGCUCCAUUGAGAUUUUAGGAGUAUCAACUUUGCUUUGAACUUAAAAUGAUUUAAAUUUGACCAUUGAAAAAGGGUAGGACUGUUCAAGUGGCCUGGAGAGCUCAAAUGCUCAAGAACGCUCAAAUGCUCAAGAACGCUCAAGUGAGCCUUACUGCUCAAGCACCCAAGGCACUCAAGUGGUGGGUGAGUUGGCUCAAGCGGUUAUGAAAAUUUUGCCAAGUUUUUUCACGCAAAAUUGGUUUGGAACUCUUCCAAAACAGAAAUUCUUUAGGCUUUUGCCUAUAAAUACCUCUCUUUUAACCCCUUAAGGGUUAAAGAUCAUUAAAAGAUUGUGGAGAAAUCACAUAGAGAUAAUAUAUUCUUUAGAGAGGAUCUCUUAGAAAGAAAGCCUAAUGUGACACACCAUUCUUAAUCUCUCAUUCAAGGAUUUGAUCUUUGAAUCUUAGGUUGAAGACCUUCAUCUCUUUGACAAGGGUGAAGUGAUCCAUUAGAGCAAUUGAAGGCUAUUGCAUCACAGGCAUAGAUUAAGUUGUAGGUAUUGGAGAGUAAGUCUUUAGGGUAAAGCAGUUAGGUAAAUUGGUGUAACUCGAUUUCUUAUAGUAGAUUUAGAUUAGUAGGUCUUAGACCUCGUGAUUUUUUAUCUCCACAAUAAGUGUGAGGGUUUUCGACAUUAAAAUAUCUAUGCCUUAUUGUUUAUAUCUUUUUAUUAUUUGAUAUAUUAUUUUAAUUGCCUAAAGGAAAGAUUUGAUAAUCCCUAACAACUCACAGGUUAAAAUAUGGGCAUAACAUAUAAAUAUUUAUUUAAAUUUUAAAAUCACCCAUUCACCCUUCUUCCCUUUGGGUGUUCUCUAUUGGACUUUCGGUUUUUCAAUUGGUAUCAAAGUGAGAUAAAAAUUUGAUUCUUUAUCUUAUAGAUUAAAAAUCAAAAUUUUAUUGAUCAUAUAGGGUAAAAAUCAAAUUUUUAUUGAUCUUGUAAGUCCGAUAUGGAAUAAUCUAAACGUGGUGCCCCUUUGAAUAGUGCACCCUACUUUGGUGGGAAUAACUAUUCCCAUUUGGAAAUCUCAUAUGAUGUUUUUCCUUAAAAUGCAAGGAGAAAUGGUAUGAAAUUCAGUAGAAUCUGGAUGAAGAACCCCAUUGAUCCUUGAUUCUGAAGGAAGAUCAACAGAAGAACUUAAACCUAAACACGAAUGGGACAAAGUUGACAAUGAAGAUAGUGAAGCCAAUGCUAGGGUUUUAUUUAGCAUUUUUAAUGAAGUUUGUCCAAAUGAGUUUCACAUGAUGGUAAAUUGUAAACGUUCAAAAGAAGCAUGGGGUAUUCUUCAAGUCACUCAUGAAGGUGCGUCUGCUUUAAAGAUUUCUAAAUUACAAAUGCUUUCCAUUAAAUUUGAGAAUAUUAGGAUGCAUGAAAAUUAGAACUUUUCUUCCUUUUAUUUUGAAUUAAGUGGUAUUGUUAAUUGUUUCUUUAACAUUGGAGAACCUAUUCUUGAUUCUAAGGUAGUAAGAAAAAUAUUAAGAUCUAUCUCUAAGAGAUUUAGACCUAAAGUUGCUACUAUAGAGCAAAGUAAGGACAUCGAUUCUGUGAGAGUUGAUGAACUUGUUGGCUCCAUUCAGACAUAUGAGAUGACCCUACUUAGUUCUCAAAAGCCUAAAGACUCUACCUUUAAGGCUUAUGAGAAUGAGGAAAAAGAUAUUGAAAUGCCAUAUAACAUAGCUAGGGAUGAAUUCACUCAAAUAGAUAAAAGAAUUAAAAAGGUCAUGAAAUUCAAUAAAAGAUUUUUAAAAAAAAUCAAGAAUCUGGAAAAAGCAAAGAGACAUAACAAACAAUAUCCAAAGAAAAGGAUAAAGAUUCCUUCAAAGGUAAGAAAGUUGAAUGCUUUAACUACGGAGGACUGGCACACUUUGCUACUAAUUGUCCCAUCUCCAAAGAUAUUGAAAAGUCUAUGUAGGCAACAUAGAGAAUGCUUCUAUAGCUUCUAAAGAUGCAAGGUAUGAUCCCAAUGACUUUUUAGCUUUUAUUGCAUCUAUGGAAUCUGAGCAUGAUAGUGAUAAUGAUAGUGAUGAUGAAUUUACUGAUGAUCAAAGAGCAUGAAAAGCUAAUUAAGAAUUAUUUAAAUGAUCAUGAUAUUCUUCAAACUCAUAAAACCAAGAUUGACAUGUUUAAUGUAGAAAAGAGUAAUUUUCUUGAAAAAAAAAAAUAGAUUUCUUGAGUUUGAACAUCAUUAUCUCAUUGAAAAGAAUAAUGCUCAAUCAAGAGAUAAAGAGCAAUAAGCCUUCUUCAUUUGUGAAUAAAGUUUUUCACCCUAGAACUUGAGUGCUUAAUGAAAUUCUUGAUAAAUGCAAAACCUAUUGUGAUAAAUGAGGUUUGGGAUAUGUUAAUAAAGAUGAAACUCCCUCUAGUGGAGAAACUAUAUUUGUCAAAGGUAAAAAUAUAACCCCUAAUUAAGCAAAAUCUCCUAAAAAGACAUCACAAUGCACACACUUUAAGAAAACUAGACACUUUCAGUUUAGAUGUUACCUAGAAAGGUUUGAAUCUCAAAUGAGUAGGCUAAUGAAUGAUUUUAUAACUCCCUUAAAAAUAACUUCUUGAAUAAUAGGAAAUGGGAUAAGCCUAAUCAAAAGCCUAGAAGCUAACAAAGCUCCUCUAAGUCACCACUUAGGACUAAGCAACUUUGGAUGAGAAAGGAUAGGAAUAAGUAUCAAGUUGUCUUCAAUGCUCUUAAAGCUAGAUCAUUCAAUGAGUGGUACCUUGAUAGUGGCUGCUCUAGACACACGAUAGGUGAUAAAUCUGAAGAGUAAGUCUUUAGGGUAAAACAACCAGGUAAAUUUGUGUAACUUCAUUUCGUAUAGUAGAUUUAGAUUAGUGGGCCUUGACCUCAUGUUUUUCUUUCUCCACAAUUAGUGUGAGGGUUUUCCAUGUAACUUAGUGUAGUUUUCCUUUUUUGUAGUCACUUAGUGUUAAGAUUCAAUAUUGUAUAAAUAUAAUUAGAAUUUGUGUAAAGAUGUAAUGCAAUGAAAUAGAAGAAAAUAAAAAAUAAAAAUCUCAAAUUUUGGGUUUAAUUUUAUCAUAUUUAUUUUUAAAAGGUUUUUAAAUGAACAAACCUUUAAUAAAUGUAUAAAUAAAUUGAACUAUAUUCAUAUAUUGAUUUAAUUACUGCUACAAUACAAUCUUGAUGCAAUUAAAAAGUUAAGGUUUCUGUUUUUCAGCAAAUGGUAGGGUUUACAAUCUUAAUGCAAUUAAAAAGUCUAGGUUUUUGUUUUUCAGUAAAUGAUAGCGUUUGGAAAAGUUGAGAGAUAUGGGAUUUCUAUUUUGAAGAACAUGAGUGGCAUGUAUUCUUACUCUAAUUGAAAUAUUUUUCUGGUAGAGCUCUAGAAACAGGGGGAUGUAGAAAGGAGAAGUUGGGAGACAAUGCAUAAUGCAAUAUAUUUCUAGAAAAAGGGGUAUAGUUUUUUUCUUGUAGAACUUGAAGAAAAUAAAGAUGAAACUAUUGUUUUGUUUUUUGAAAACAAGAGAGAAAGUGGACUUGGAUUUGUUUUACUAGAUGAAGGAAGUUGAGAUACAAUAUUUUGGAUUUUUUUUUUUGUCCAAAUUAUCUUAUCAUUCAUCAAGUAAUGCUCUAUAUAUCUGUUUAUUACAAGUGGAAUAUAUAUAUAUAUAUGUUGUCUUAGAAUUUUGAUUUUGUCAUAGUUGUUGUAUAUUCUAUAGAAUGUUAUCAUUUAGAGUACCAUGGAAUUAGAAAUUGAUCAACAAACCUAGUUUGAUAACUAAAAUAAACCACCAUUGUUUUAUCAUAGAAAACUGAAAGCUGGAGGCCUUUAAAGUAGCUGGAACAAUAAUAUGAAAGAUGCAAAAGUAUGCAUGGGAGUUACAAGGUACUUAAUGAUUGGUCUUUUUAAUUGCCCUGUGUUGUGAACAAGUAAUCAAAGUAAAUAGUGAAUAUGAGGGUUAGAGUUGAAGGUUCAUUUUGCAUAAACUUGUAGCUUAUCUAGUCUUGAAUUUCAAUUUAUCUUAAUAAACACAAAUUCUAGAACUUUUGAGUACACUAAAUACAAGAGAUGAACACUGUUAGAAUAGGAUAAAAUGGUGUACUUAUUGUCAAUACUUUUUCAUAAUUUUAUUUUGUUUAAAUGUAACAUAAAGGCACCAGUUCUAUGUGUGAAUCUAUCAAUUGUAAUUAAAUAAGUGAGAAUAUAGAAAUCAUAUGUUUUUUCAAUUUAUUUUUGUAUAUCAAAUUUUCUAAAUCGUACUCCGAUGUGUUAUUUUUUUGGUAGUUUAAACCAUGAGCCUCUUGUCAGCUAUCCAUCAAAAUUAGUCUAUUAAGUUUUUUUGAAUGUUGUUGAGGAUUAUUAUUAUUAGAGGAAUUCAUAGAAAUUAAUUUGAAAAAAAAAAGCUUGAAUUUUGUAUUUGAUAAUUCCAAAAAAAGGAUAAAAAAAAAAAACAAAUAAUAACUUAUAAAUGCCACCAAUUGAAAACUACAGUGCAUGCCUAUGCUUUAGCGGGGGUAAAAAAACAAAUGCAACUGCAUAUCUAUGGUAGGGGUCAAAAGUAGGAUUCAACUAUAAGAAUCAUUUAUUGCAUCCUAGUUGUGGCCACAGCUAAUGCUUGAGCAUGUACUCACAGUGAUAUUAACAACUGAAACUAUAAAAUAUAGUUACACCACCUAUGGCCACACUCAGUGGCAGUCAGUUUGGUGUGGUAAUAUGUUGCAAUCGCACCAUUUAUAAUCUUUAGUGAGGGUCACUGACUGCUACUAUAACCCAUUUUUCCUAUAGUACCAGUGUGUCCUAAAUGUAAGCUAAUUAUGAUCUAAUGUAUGAAUUGAAUUUGCAGUCAUAUGAGUGAUUAACCGUGACCUAUUUAAGUGUUAAAUCAAAUGCCAAAGGAACCUUAAGCAAGUACCUAAUUAAAUCUAAAAUGUAAUUAACCUUUUAAUUACUAUAUAUGUAUGUAAAUUAUGAAAAGUGAACUUGGAAGAGCACAAAAUCAAAGUAUUUAUUCAAAGCCAAUUAUUCAUCAAAUGGCCUAUUUAGGUUUAAAAAAAAAAUCCCUAGCAUCAAAUUAAGCCUAAAAUCAAUACUAAACCAUGAAAUAAUAAAAAUCAAUCACCUAAACAAUGAAUCUAUCAACACUCAUGUGUGUCCUAAUUUAUCCACACCCAAACAUGUUUAAAUUCAAAUCAAAAGAUACAAAAAAAAAAAAAAAAAAAAGUAAAAAAAGAAAGAUGAAGAAAUUAAAAAAAUGAAAAUUAAAGAAAACUAAUCAGGAAACUCUCUUAAAUUCGAUGAUAUAGAAUGUUCUUCAAAUUGUUUGAUGUCUUCAAUAUGCAGCCGAACACAUAUGUUUCUCCAAGCUAAUGAUUUCUUUCCUUCUAAGCCACUAAUGCGAACUCUAUGAGUUGAUGAUAUGUUAAUGAAAAUGAAGAUAUAUAUGGUGUGUUCUGAGGGAAAUGCAGAAGAUGAAUGAAGGAGCUUGCUAGUAUUGUAUGUUGUUGAUGUCACAAGUGUAAUAGUAGCAAAAAGGAUGUGCACUGCUAUGGAGAAGUGGAAGCUAGUGAUGUGACAAAGUGUUGUGAUCCAUUUCCACUCCACCCCAAUGGGCGGCUUAGUUUCUACCUCAACCUUUCUUUAGACUUACAACAAUAGGGUUUUGGUUGAGGAUAUGCCCAAGGAUUUACCUUUGGCAUUGUGCUUAUUUCAUGAAAAACUUUUUUACUACCAAGAACAUCAACAACCUCAAAAUCAUGCAUGUCAAUUAAAGCAUGUUCAUUCCAUGAAUGCAGGUAACAUGAUGCAGUGUGAUUGGUCAACAUUUGUUUAUUUCAUAGAGCCCUCCCUUAUGUCCUCUAAACUAGAAGCUUCUUUCCUAAUGUCUUUCUCUUCAUGUGUCUCAUAAGGGUAAGUUUCAACUAGCCCUUCUUGGUUUUGCUCAUUAGGUUGAGAAAAGGAGUAGAAUUCCCCUUGCUUUAGAGCUUUCAAAAUAGAAAUAAACCGACAUACAAAAUCUUUGAGUUCUUAUAAUGUUUGUGUAAGCUCACACAUGGAGUGUGAUUCUCCAUGAAGGGAUUAAUAGUUUCCUUAAACUUAAAAUUAGGAGUCGGCUUAUAGGAACAUAAACUUGGUUGAGGUUCUUGGUAGUAGGGAUGAAACUAUUGUUGAAAAUAUUGAGAGUGCUCACUAUAGAGGUGUUCAUUCAAGGCCUCUUUUAAUCUAGGAAUGGUAGGACAAUGGUGGGUCAUGUGUGUCUGUUAUCAUAAAUUGUACAAAGGACUUCAUUAGAGUUAGACACACUCUUAAACUCUAUUUUUUCUCCUCCAUUACCUCCACCCUUUUGGCUAAUGUAGCUAACCUAACACUAUCGUGCUUUUCACUUACAAUAUACUUCUCCCUACCCAUGGCACUUGUUCCUUCUUUUCCUCUAGUUAAAUUUUUCUUAAGCUCAGAAGAGUCCCAAGCUUGAGAACUUCUUACUAGUUGCUAUAAGAAAUCAUAGACUUCCUUGGGCUCUUUACUCAUGAAUUCCUUUUUGCACAUGGUUUCAACAAAUUGGUGAGAUUGAGUGGUUAACCCAUUGUAAAAUAGGCUAACUACUCUCCAUGGCUCAUAACCAUGAUGGAACAAAAGUUGAUUAAAUCUUGAUAUCUUUCCUAACACUCAUAGCAUGACUUCUUCUCAUUUUGUUUAAAAAGACUGAUUUUCCUUCUAAGAGUCAUUGUACGUUGAAGAGAGAAAUAUCAAUUAAUUAUAUUUUCAAACCAGGUACCGAUAAACCUUGGCCUUAAACCAUAGAACCACAAUUUAGCCUUCUCCUUUAAAGAGAAUGGAAACAAUUUAAGUCUUACAACAUCCAUAUUGCAAUUAGACUCUUAAAAUGUUCCAAAUAGUGCCUCAAAAUCUUUACGAUGGAGAUAAGGAUUUUCUUCAUCUCCCCAAAAAAAUGAGGUAGUAGUUAGAUCAUGGAUGGCACAAUGUUAAAUGAUUGGGCAUUGUAAGGAGCUAUUAUGCAAGAGGUGACACUUGCCAUGGGCGGUUGGAGCUAAUCUCUACGAGUUCAAAUUUGAGCCAUGUUGGUAGGAUUAGGAUUAAGUAAUAUGGGUCUAACUAAAUGGUCUUGACUGUCCCUAGUCUAAUUUACCAUAUACAACUUUAGCAACAAUCCUAAUAACCAAUUCCAAACAAAUGAAUUAAUAAAAAAUAAUAAAAUAAAAUAAAAAACAAGAAUAAUGCAAGUAGAUGAAAUAAAAGAAACGAGAGUGGAAAGAAUUCAUCGAGUUGUGAUGACAAUCACAACCAAAUAAACUCCCACAAAAUUUGUUGCAAACUUUAAGAACUUUCCUCAAUAUUGAUGCUAAAAACUUGACAGCACCAAAUGUGUGUGAAUAAUUUAUUGGUUCCCCAAGCAUAGGGGUGUGGUUGUAGCUUUAGAAAAAACUCGGGAAGUUGGGUAUCUAACCUCAAAGAAGGGAUCUUACAAUGUAGGUGAGGUGGAAAGAAUAAAAAAAUGAAUAAAAUUGAUGGUGAAAAAUAAUACUUUCUUGAAUUCUUGCUUGGGCAAAGAAGUGGUUGGAAAGUUGUGAAAAGUUGUAACUAAUAAUCAAGGAAGGGGGAAUCCCUAAGGUCCUUUCCCUACCUUAGAAUGAUCCUUGUCAUUCAUAUAUCAUUUGAAAGUGUUCACUCAUCAAUUAAAUCCCAAUGUAUAACCCUAAGUUUUCCUAAAAAAUCCAAAAUAUAAGUGAUUUGAAAAUUGUUGUCUUGGGCUUACAUAGGGUUGUUCCAAGUGAAAAUGGUUUUUCCCAUUAAAUGCUUGGCAUACCCUAUGGGAAGCCUAGGCUUCAAUAUCUAAUUAGGCAUAAACAUUUAGUGGUUUCAUGAACCCAAUAUAUCAACCAUUUUUCCAAUUAGGGUAUUUAAGGUUGUCCCAAGUCAAAAUGGCUUUUCCAUUAAGCACUUGGGAUACCUUAUUGAGACCUAUAAUUCCCAAUUAUUAAAUGUUGAAAUGAGGUGAUUUAUAUUGAACAAAUGAGAUUCUAUUGAUGAAUUAAAAACAAUUGUUAAUGAAAGGAUGCAUUCCAAUGGAAGAAUGGGAAGCCUAGGGCACCCUUUCCCCAACCUAAAGAAAAAUGCAAUAGAUAUUGAAUUGAAAUUAACUUGAAAGAAUAAAAGGGAAAGCAAUAAGUUAAACAUCAAACCUUAAAUCAAAUAUAAAAUUUCAAUGAUCAAUGAUAAUAAAAGGAUUCAAUUAUGCAUUAGAUAAAACCAAUUCAAAAUAAAGGAAAUAAAUGAAAGCAAGAACAAGAAACUAAAGAAAACUUAACAACAAAAAAGUGUAUCCAAGAUCUCCAAUUCCCAAGGUUGACUCCAAGAAGUAGCAAAAUAUGUAAGAACUCCCCCUUAAGGGAGAAGAUCUGAACCCUCCCAAUGAUUGCUCAUUGCCUCUUUAUAUCAUUCCUUAAAUCAUCCCUAUGUUCCUUCAAAUGAGAGCUUUUCCCAUGCAAGUCAAGGGCUCAAGAAUGGGUUGGAAUCAGCCCCCCUCUUUGGCCCAGCCCAUUCCUCAUUUUUAAGAAAAUUAAAACGCUUUUCUUGUGUUACAAUUAUAUGAGUUUUAAGGCCCAAAGGGCGAUUAUAGGUGGCGAAGCCGAUGUAAGGCCCUUGGUGGUGCCUUCAUGUGUUGAAACAUCACUUGUAUUUCUCAAAUUUAUUCCUCCAAACUUUUAGGCAUGUUUUGCAUCACGAGGAAUUGAUAUGGGAACAUCCAGAUCUAGGUAUGAGUAUUAUAUCUCUAGACCUAUCAUUAAUAAUAAUUUUUUAUUAUCAUUUUAUUCUAUUGUGAUAGAUUUAGAGAUGCAUAGGGAUAUAUGCAUGCACCCUACAAGAUCCAAGGCAUAGGAAUUGAGAGAUCCAGGGUUCCUAACAAAUACCAUAUACAUAUAAACAUGCAUUUUUUUCCUUUUUCUUUUCUUUUUUCUGCAUACUAUGAUCAACAAGGAACAAUCUCCAAUAAAGAUACAUAUAAUAAAGCUCUCCCCACAUAUUGUUAAAAUGUGAAUGCUCAUUAACAAGAUAACCCUCUCAAGCUAAUAUCUUUGGAUCGUUGCCCAUUGGGAGAAAUAGAGGAAGGAUAUGAUUGUCCUCCACAUAGUGAUAUAUGGAAAACCAUCUCUUAGGGUGAAACAAAGAGAAUGACAAUAAAAAAUGACAUGAGAAAAAGAAAGAAGGGAUGAACAUCACAAGUGAUGAUACAGGAUAUAGGAAAAAGUUGAUAAAGACAAACUAGAGAAAGCACAAUGAAAGGUGAGGAAUAAGACCCAAAUAUGUUUGUUAGGUCCAAAGCUGAUGAGAUCCCUAGUCAAAGCACGCAAGCACUAUAAGGUCCCUAACUCAAUGUAAAUAGUGAGUGAGGUGAUGAAAAGAAAAGGUUAUGAUGCUCGCAUGAGGCUCAAAGGGCUAUCAAUAGAUAACUCUAUAUUUAAAGGUGAUUGGGUAUAAAGGUUCAUGGAAUGAUGACCACCCAUCCUUUGACCAUAACAACAAACAUUUUUCUCACAAACUCUCACAUGGUUGGCACUACAACUUGGUGUUCAUCUAAUAUAGCUAUGCCACCCUCUGGAAUGAUGUGAAAUCUUACACCAGAUACUCCAUGUAACCUCUAUGUCUAUCUCAAUCUUAGAAUAGUCAAUAAUCUCAUCAAGCAACCAACCCACUCUCUCAUCAUAAGCCACAUGUCAUCAUCUCAUGAAACCAACCUCUAUAGACAUGCCAACUCACUGAAGUCAUGUGUAAGGGCCUAAUUUGGAUACUUUGCGACAACCUCAAAUAUUCUCUUCUCGACCACUAAGUAGUCAAUAAAUACGUAGAGUAAUCAACUAACUCCCUCAUCACAAACUAUCUCUCAUACUACAAAAGUCACCUUUGGUCCAAUCCUCUCAAACUUUACUUGGUUGAAUUGAAUAAGGGAUGUACAAGGAUAGAAUAUGCGAAAAAGUAAAGGUCAUGCAAUGGUGUUAAGGAGAAAUAUUUUGGACAAGGUAUUGCUUUAAUCGAAAGGCAAAAUAGGUCACAGUCUUGAACUCCCUAGGUUAAUCCUCUGUACCUAGGUCAAUUGACUCAAUAUCCUCCAUGAUGGGUUAAGUCUUAGUGGUCAUGAUAUGCAAAUGAUGAGAUGUCUCAUAUCAAAAGUCUAACAUAUAUCAAUGUGGGGAGGUGCAAAAUAAAAAACAUACUCAUAAGAAAAAAAAUUACAUAUACCUAUAAGAGAAAAAGAAAAACAUAUACUCAUAGAAAAAAGAAUAUAUCAUUGAAUGAAUUGAUGACUACAUCAUAUGUGAAAUAAAAAUGACUCCAAACAAUUGGACUCUCAACAUAGACUGUAAACUACAACUCUACUAAAACCAAACUCGACAAAAUGAAGAUGGCUCUAUCAACAACCAUAACCAAACCAAAAAAUGCUCUAAACUAAAAUGUUGUAAAGAGAUGUAACCACAUCAACUAAAGUAAAUUCUCAACCCAGAAGAACUUAAAGUGUUAGGUGAUCAUCAAUACCGCUAACAUCCAUAACGAUCUACUGAAUACUAAGAGGAUGAGGAACUACAUCACUAGGUAUAGGCAUAGGUGAUCAUCAAUACCGCUAACAUCCAUAACGAUCUAUUGAAUACUAAGAGGAUGAGGAACUACAUCACUAGAAUGUAUAGGCAGGGUGUUAGUGGUCACACUCAGGCCAAGAUAAGUUGACCAUCCAACACUAAUCAAAUCAUGUAUCACAUAGAAGAGGGUUGUGCAAUGCUCAAUAUCUUGAGUUUAAUGAUAUAAACAAUGCUUAUGUAGAUAGAAGUGGAGGAGAACAGGAUGUGGUAGGGGACAUGGUACAAAAUGGGUUAUUAAUCUAACAUCUUUGAACUUCUUAAAGCUCUAGUCAAAGUUAUACCAAUGGUGAAAACUAUCUCGCAUGCCUUUAAACAUAUGGUUUGGGUGGUUGAAGAGCACUGGCUCUCGAAUAUGGUAGUCGUGGUUGAAUAGUAGUCUAAGCAAUGAAAGGUUGUUGCAUAUAAAUUGACUAGUAUUGGCACUAUGGAGAAGGAAACCAGGCUCUAACUAUGGAUGGCCUAUGAUAUGAAUGAUGAGUAUUCCUCUAAUGUUGAUAAUUGAUGGUGCUAACCUCUCCAAACCUAUUGGGUGAUCUAAUAGGCUUCCUCCUCUUAUUUUUUAGGGAAGGAGUAGGGUCUGUCCACAAACCUCCGUCAAUGCCUUUCUCAACAUUGAUGUUAGCCUGAACUAAGCUCCUAAAAUCCUGGAAAGGAAUACCCAUGAGGUGUCUAGUAAACCUAGGUUGGAGGUUUCGAAGAACUAUGUCAAUAUGAUCUUGCUUAUUAGCUUGAUCUACCAUAUUGGCCACUUUUGCCCUCCAACGACUAAAAAAUGAAGAAAUGGUAUCAUCUAGCUUUUGCUUAGUAGUCUCUAACUCUCUAAUGGAAACAUCAAUAUCGACAUUGAAAGCAAACUAUGUUAGAAACUCAUUAUAAACCCUCCAUUUUGUUCCUUUAGUACAUGCCGCCCCAUUAGGUGUUCUUUCAGUACUCCAUAGCAAUUUCCCAUUGGCCCACUGCUACUCAUAUAGCUUACUUUUUUGAGCCACCUCAAUGACUAUAGUUAAAGGAUUUAUCUGACCCCUCAUUUUGACCCUUGGCAACCUUGAGUUAGAUCUAUGAUUUUCUUUUUUUCUUUUUAGGAUAGAUCAUUUAAGUACACUUUUAAAACACUUAAACAUGCCCUAACACACUUACACAUGCCUUAGCACACAUAGACACACCCUAGGUCAAUUAGGCACCUUUUCUAAUCACCUUAGGUCACUUAAGAACUUCUUUGAUCACCCUAGGUUACUUAAGCACCUUUUCUAAUCACCUUAGGUCACUUAAGAACUUCUUUGAUCACCCUAGGUCACUUAAGCGCCUUUCCUUAUUACCCUAGGUCACUUAGACACUUUUCUAAUCACCCUAGGUCACUUAAGUACUUUUCUGAUCACCCUAGGUCACUUAGACACUUUCCUAAUGACCCUAGGUCACUUAGCACUUUCUUGAUCACCCUAGGUCACUUAGACAUUUUUUUUAGGAUAGAUCACUUGGACAUUUCUUUCGUUUUGUUUCACUUUAGGUUAAGUUUUCGUUUUGGUUGCUUGGUUUUAGGUGAGUAUUUGGCUUGAUUUUGAUUUUUUGAUUGCAUGAGAUAUAGUUUUUUUAGUUGUGCUAGUUCGAUAUUCCAUUUUUCAUUAUUAUCAGUUGCAUUGAUAUUCAUUUUCAAAUUUCGAUUGCAUAUGUGAUAUUUAUUUUUUUUGUUUUAGAAAAUGGCUUAAGAUUGAGAAUUCUUUUUAUUUUUUAUUUUAAUUGGGUGAAUUAAUAUUUUGAUUUUCUUAUACAUAUAUUUUUUUGAUUCUUUAGUUUGUUUUUCUAUUCCAUGAUUUCUAAUUUUAAUUUAUUUCAUUUUUAUUUUGCAUGAACGUGACUUGCUAUUUUUUCUAAAUUGUAUGAUUUUAUAUUUUAUCUUUUAUUUUCAAAUAUGCAUCUUUCCUUUACUUUUUGUUUUACUUUUGCAUGAAUUCGGAGAUAAUGGGGAAUUUGUUUGACAAAGAAACAUGGGUUGCCAUCCACUUACCUUAAGGACCACACAAAGGAUAUCACUUAUUAUGGGAAGGAAGAGAUCUCCACGCAUGCACUUGGAAAGAAUGGUACAUAGCCAAGCAUCAAAAGGAAACUAGGGAUUCUGCCAGUUGACCGGAGAGUCCUCAUUGAAACACAACACCAUGGGAAAAAGAGGAAGAGAUUCAACUCGCGCGCACUAUCGAGAGAAUUUUCCAUAGGAGACCACGAUCAGUAACAUACAUCCAUUCGGGGGAUUCCCGAGGGCAGGAUAGCGUGCAUUCUCCAUAGCCAGCCACACCAUAGUGGAGAUAUCACAUAUGCACUAAAAGAAAAAAACUUGUUUCUCUCAAUAGAAGAACAAAUAACGCACCAUAGGAUUUUUAAUGGAAAAAUAGGAAGGGAUACACAGAUUUUUGGAGUGGAUUGCAUUGGGGAGGAGGACGUAAUCUUCAGUUUGGGGGAUAUCCACCGACACCAUGGGAAUGCAUAUAGAAAGCAACAAAGCACACACCAUGCGGAAUGGUUCCCAACAUGGCUGCAUAUUGUAGCACACUUGGAGAUCUUUUGGGAACACGCAUCAUUGGAGGAAGUCAGACCACACACAGCAGAUUGUCAUUCUCCAAGACUUACACGCACAUGCCAUGCCGCCUUGAAGGAUUUCCAUUGUGGGUGCCAUUCACGGCUGCACCUAUUUUAAAUAGAAACACCACACUGCAACAUGUAUUUUGGAGGCUACCUGGACGCACUUUCCAUGGGCUGCAACUUGCAAAAUUUGUUCACAACCACACUUAGGUACUCUCCAUCAGUUUCAGAGUGGUGUACAACAAUCAGAUAAGAGGGAAAUACAGAGUCCCGGGGAAUUGCAUUCCCACCUACACACAUUGUUUCGAAGAGGUAAGUUAGAUUCUUGUUUAUUAGUUUUGCUUUUUUUUUUUUAAUUAGGUUAAAGUUUUUUUUUAUUCAUUAGUCUUGAUCCUUACUAUUAGUCCGAAAAAGUUAUAUAUUAAUUUUGAUUCAUCUUCUCUAUUGGAAGCCUUUAUAUUUUUUUUUAGUUCGUUAGAUUAAAUGAUUCCAUGUGACAAAGUGUUUAUUUUUAAAUUUGUUUUUAUUUUAGUUUAGUUUAGAUGCACUAAUAUAUCUUUUGUUUGUUAGUCUAAUUCAUUCCAUAGGACAGAUUUCUUAUUUUCUAGUUUGUUUAGCUUUAAUUUGAUUCAUUUUAGUUGGAUUUAGAUGCUUCUAUAAUUUUAAUGGAUUCUAUGUGAUAAAUUCUUAUUUAAUUUUUUUUUUUCUGAUUUAGUUUGAUUCCUUUUAGUUAAUUCAAAAGUUAUUAUAAUUUUAUUUAUCUAGUUUGAUUGAUAUUUUAGUCUUAAAAUUACUAAAUUUAAAUUCAUGAUUCAUCUUAUAUUUAAUCUAAGUGUUUUACAGAAAUUCAACUACUUGGUUUAAUUGAUUCCCCAUUAUUUCCUUUAUGCUUUAAAAUUGAUAAUUUUAGUGCUUGAUUGAUUCUAUUUAAUUUAUGUUUUCUGAUAUCUUAAUUAAACAAUUGAUGUGUUCAAGAUUGAUAAUUUUUUAGCUUUUGAUCCAUCUUGUUUUAGUCUAUAUACUUAUAAAAUUCUAAUGGUGAAUUAUUGAUUGUUAUCAUGUUAUUCUAUUUUGUCAAAAAAAUGCUUUGCUUAUUGUUGUUAGGAUUGAGCCUUGGAAAGCAUGAUAUGAUGUAACAGAUUGAGAUUCAUUUAUAAAUUUAUUUAUUUAUUUUUCUUGGUUUCCCUUAAAUAUCUCAUUUGUAUUAAUUGGUUAUUUGAGCAUACACACCCCAUAUCACUUACAUUGCAUAUGACUUAGGUGCAUUAAGAAUUGCACAAAUGAUCCAAGUCAUGGGUUUCUUACAGGGUAAUAAGUUAUCCAUUGUUGGUUCAUGGAUUUGGGCUAUCCAUCUGAGAUUAUAGUACACUACCUCCUAAUUGGAGGGAUGACUUGUCUUGGCUGUCGGGAUGGUUUUCCCAUGGUGAGUGUAUCAGUACAUUUGAUGUGCAUUGAACAAGACCUACAAUGAAUCAUAAUACAAGGCUAUUAGUUGUCACAAUUCACCAAGCUGCUAUACUGCAUGGACUCUCAACCUUGAGAGGAUAUUAAGCUUGUGCCAAAGUUAACAUGAGGCUUUGACCAAUGGAUGAGACCCUAAAGUGGUCAUAUAUCCUUAUGGAUUGGGUCAUUGUUGAUGGAGGUUGGUGGCAAUAGGUAUUCUCAAUAAAGACACCAUGAUAUCUCAUGGAUUGAGACGGUGUGUCCCUUUGGGUGAUCCAAAAGACAUGUGAUCUAAAAGACUAUGGCUAUAGCAUUUCCUUUAGUGAAAAUUUGGCAUAUACUCCUUAGAGUUAGAGUAUGUCAAUCGAUCACAUAAUAAGUGGAAUCUGUAACUCAAGGAUUGAAGAGGUAAUCUUGAUAGGUGAGAGCACCGCCUUGUUAGAUUACAUACACCAGUUAUGGGGAGUAUGCAUUCAAUGGAUAGUAAGUCAUGGACCCCGAGCUUCGUCUCAUUGUUAUUUACAUGGGAUACUAGAGUACAAUUGAUUCUAUUUAGUGGAAUGUUGAAUCAACUUCAAACUUAGAUUCUAAGAGAGCCUGUACUCCUAUGGGUCUUAAUGGUUCCCACCUUGAGCUCAUAUACCAUGAUGACGUGUUUUAUAAGGGAUGAAUUAGCUUUUGGUUAAUUUUUGUGCAUAAGGGCAUUUUGGUAAUUAUGCAAGGUUGCACAAGGGAUAGUGAACAAGUUCUCUAGAUUAAGCUAAUUGAUUAAUGAGAAGGUCCUAUUGAUUAAUUAAUCAAUUAAGACCCAUUUUGGGCUAUAUUAAGUGACCCAAGCCUUGGUAGGCUUACUUAAGCCAAUAAGGGAACGCUAUAAAUCCCCCAUAAGGGUUAGGGUUUCCAUAAACUUGAGAGAGACUUUGUCUUCCACCUCCAGAAAAAUAGAGAGAUAGUGAGAGACAAGAGAUCCUCAUUUCCAAAGCCCACAUUUUGGAGUGUCAAAAUCGUGGUUUAAGUCAUCAGGUGAAAGAUCUUGGAUGUACAAGACUUUUAGAUUCAUUAUUCUUCAUCUUCACUGAGUGGAAUUGAUUUGGGAACAUCCAAAUCAAAGGUAAAGUUCUCUAAUGACUUUCCUCUUGAUCCUAGAAUUGUAAAAAUAUGAUUUUUGCUUCUAUGGCAUAGGAUCUGGAGGUUUAGAGUAGUUUUGCAUGCACCUAUAUGAUCCAAGGUAAGGGAAUGGAGAAAUUCAAGGUUCCCAACAAUUGCUCUGGUGAAACCCCUACAUAAAAAUCAUUUUUCAAAAACCUUUUAUUGUUAACUUGUUUAAUUUACUAUGUCUUUGAAAAGAAAAUUGGAUUUGAUCUAUUUUGAUGUUUUUAAUUCUUUUUUCCAAUGAUUGUAUGAUAUUGUAGACAUCUUGAACAUGAAUUUAGAACUUUGUUUGAGUUUUAAAAAAAAAAAAAAAAACAAUUUUGAAAUGGAAGAUAUAAACAAGACUUUUAAGGGUUUCGUUUUCACCUAAUUCUAAACACUCGAAAUGUUUUGUAAAAAAAAAAAUUAUUACAUGACUUUGUAAAUUCGAUUUAAUAUUUUUUUUCCUCAAUUUUAGACUUCUUGAAAUUGAUUUUAGACACAUAAAAUAUUGAAAAUAAUUUUCCUAAUUGAAAGAUAUAAUUUUCCUUUUCUGCACUAACUAUACUACCCAAAUUUUGAAUAGAGGGGUUGUUUGAUUGUUUUUAAAAUUGAUCUAUGUGCCUUUUGACCUUGUCUUUAUUUUUCUUAUAAAGUAGACAUUCUAAAUUUUUUUUCAUUAUUUUUAGACUUCUUGAAAUUGAUUUUGGACACAUAAAAUAUUUAAAAUACUUUUCCAAAGAUAUAAUUUUUCCUUUAUGCAUUCAUUGUACUACCCAAAUUUUGAAUAAAGGGGUUGUUUGAUUGUUUUUAAAAUUGAUCCAUGUGCCUUCUGACCUUACCUUUAUUUUUCUUGUAAAGUAGACAUUCUAAAAAUGUUUCAUGAUUUUUUAACACUUCUAUGUUAGUUUUAAAAAAUCAAUUUAUGCAUGUUAUUGAAUUUUGCCUUAGUUUGAACCUUUUAGGAUGUUUUUGUAAACUAGAAUUAAUUGGAGCUUUAUUAAAUUUUUUGGCCUUUUGGGUGAUAAUCUAGACAUAUAGAAGAGGUCCCUUGAAAAUAUUUGUAAUUAAAUCCACAUUCUAGAUAUAUUUUUUAGGAUUUAUUUUGCAAACCUUUUUGUUCUAACUACAUGCUGAAAUUUUAUACAAUGUUUAACUUAUAUUUUAAUCUGGCAUUAACUUUGACUUUUGUUCUAUAAUAUAGACAUAAUGAGGAUGUUGUGAGAUUUUUUUAAUGAUGAAAUAGUGUUUCUAGAUAUUUAGAUAGGAUUUUUCUUAUGGAUGUUAUCAUUUUAAUCCUUUGUUGUGUGGUUUUUCUUAAUCACUAAUUUUGGUAUUUUUGUUUUCACGUACACAGUUUAGCCUUAAUGAUAAGUUGUAUGCAUAACCUAUGCCAUUUAUAUUAGGGUCUUGAAUCCUAUUUAUUUGUUAUUGCAAUUGUUCUAACCCCUUCUAGCUAUGUGCAAGCACAUUGUAGGUUAUGCGUGUUAUCUAGGUCUGUCCCUUACAACCUUUAUCUCUUUAACUCUUUAAAUAUGCAAACUUUGUUUGUGAAUACUCUCGUGCUUAAUAUUAUCUUGAUUGUUCUAAUUUGUUGCUUGAUUCCUUGAACAAGAUGAAAUGCAUGUUGAGUGUUGUAUCAUUUGUUAAACUAACCUCUAAUGUUUCAUGAAAACACUUUAGGAUGCAGCUUAGGUAUGCUAAUCUUCUUUUCUUAUAUAACUAUGUUUUUGGUAUGAUUGUUUUGUUAUGAAUACCAUGUUUCUUAGCCUUAAAAAAAUCAUCUUUUCUUUUUCUUAGCAACCCUGAUCUAGUAAUUAAUUGUCAUGCUUCCUGGAACCUAGUCAAUAGAGACUUUUUUUUAAGACUUAAAGGGAUACUACCUUUUUAAGGUACCUUCUUGAUAGGUAACAUAAUCCCUAGACCUAGACUUGAUUUUUUCAAAUAUAUGCUUUCCAAAAGUUUAAGGAGUCAUUUUUCUUAGGGUUUUAGUUUAUCAUUUUAUUUCCCCUUUUAAAAAAAUUACAAAAAUAAGUGGUGACUCUAGUUUUUUUAUAAAAUAUAGUUUUUCACCUUUAAAAGUGAGUCUUGCCAACAAGUGGGGAUGCAUGUGAAAAGUGCAAGUCCACACUCAUAAGUUACAUCCUCCAAAGUACAAAGUCUUGAAGGCUCAAUAGAUGCAAACCACCUAUGUGUUGCUCCACUAAAUGACACGGGGAAUAAGGUAACUAAUUAUGCAUCAUCUAAUCCAUGUUCUCUCAUAAUUUUACUAUAGAGCCACAUGAAUCUUCAGGCAACCUACUCCAUUGUAACGCUCAAUAUCUAACAUACAAAAUUUGGCUGGUAGGCAAGUAAGCAGCUAGUAAACCAUCAUUGUCAUUCUAGGUCAUACCCUCUUCCUAUAGCAUCAUUUGUCACAUCUUGGUCUCAAGUGUCUCCAUUCUAGCUUCCUACUCCACCAAUAUUACAUCAUUCAUAACAUGAACAAUAGGAGGUGGUGCCAAAGUAGCAGGUGGUGGAAUAGUCUCAUAAUGGUUUGACAAGUGAAGUGGAGCACCAUGUGAAACCUAAGGUGGGGGAAUCUGUGGUGUUUGUGUAUAAGAAGAGUCAUCUCAACUAUAAUGCAAAUUAUACAACAAAACACAUGAAAGACACAAGAGAAGACACUAAAGAAAAUAAUACAACAAAAGGCAAACAAGAAGUACAUGGUCCUGAGAUGGCAAUGUAAAAGUUGGAUGUAUGAUAAAAAAUUUAUAGUCAUAGAGGAGUCCAUUAUGAGAUGGCUACAAAUGUGACAAGAGAAUUUUUAUCAAUAAUCCAAAAUGAAUGAGAUGUGAAAAAAGAAAUAUUAUCAUGAGAUUAAUACUCCAUCUCAAAUAAUAUGUCCUUGAAUCAACUUUUAACCCGAGCUCCAUAAAGGAAAAUGAUAAGGUGAUCAAGGUGAAAAAUGAUAAGGUGAUCAAGGUGAAUCUCUAAAAAAGGUGUAAAUGUGAAAAUAUUUCUUUCAUCUUUCUUUAAUGAACAUAAUGAGCAUAGAGGUGAAAAUGGAAUCAAGUGCAUUUAACUAGGAAUGGGGAAACAAACCCAUGAUAGGUAUAGAAUAUAAAAGGUAAGUGUGAUCAAUGAGCAUGUCUUAAAGCACCAAGCAAAGUGCAACAAUAAAUUGAUAAAGAAUGUGUUGACUUUAAAAAUAAAGAGUGAUAGAAGUCUUAAAGAAAACAUAAGCUAGACUUAGUGAACAAAAGUAAGAAGCCAACAUAAUGCAGCAAAGAGUGGGUUGACAAAUACCCAAACUUGCAUUGAUCUCUAAGCACACCAAAAAAGAUACCAAAAAAGGAGGAGUGUUGGAUCCAUGACAUGGCUAAAGUGGUACCACAAGCUUAAAUGCACCCACAUGUAGGAAGGAAUCCUAAUCAAAGGAUCUAAAGCUCAACCUACAAGGUUAAGGUGGCUUUAAAAUACGGUAGGCUAAAAAAAGAGUCCUUAGUAGAAGUAAUCAUACCCUCCCUUAGUGCUAACCUCCUACACACCUUCGAAAAGAUGGUGUGCGUCCAUGCAAGGUGGUCAUUAUCUCCACACAUGCACUACCUCACAUCCUAAGGGGCUUCCUAAUGGUUAAGACUCUACUAUUGGUUAGCACAUCUCACAACUUUCAACAAUCAACAAUGAUCUAAAGUGCACACUGGUCACACAAAUAUCCUAAAUCUAUCUCUAGGCUAUACAAGUCUUCAAAGAUCAGACUCCAAGCAACAUCAAUGUGACGACCUUUUUCAUAAUGCUCCCAAAUAUACAUAUAGCACAUCAUUAGACCCUACUAAUCACUAGCUUGAUUGGAAAACAAACAAACAUAAAAACCUCACAUAAAACAAUUGUGAGAGUAAUGAAAGAAGGAAUCAACCAAGACUAAGGAGUCAUAAAUAGGGGGAUAAAUGUGUGUUCCACUUGAAUAAGAAAAACAUAGAUCAUGCAAAAGCAAGACAGUCAUGUAACAAAUAGUCUUGUAAAGCAAAUAAAUCAUCCUUAUCUACACAUAAACUAAACAUGGAUAAGAUGAACAAGAUGAAUAUACAACAAGAAUAAUCAUGCCAAGAUGAGUGAGUUAGAACAAGGAUAAUCAAUAAUGUGAAGAUGACAAGAUAAGUGUACAACAAUGGUAAGAUGGGUAGGAUAACAAUGCAAUAAGAAUAAUGAACAUGCCAAGAUAAAUAAGACAUGUAUAUAAUAGAAAGAAACAAGUGAAAGCUCUUAAAUGAAUAAAAUACACAAGCAUGCAACAUAGAUAAUCACCAUGGAAAAGCUCUCAAUGUGCUAAUAACACAAGCAUACAAUACCAAAGCACAAAAAAAGGGUAUCCACUGAUCAACUAAUCAAACACCAUAUUUCUCUUAACUAGAGCUCUGACUUGACCCUCUUUAUUCCCUAGUGGAGUCGCCAUUUUAUGGACCCACAUUUUUCAUUUGCAUCCCCACUCAAUGGUGAAACUCGUUUUAUUAUUGUGAAAACUUGAUUUUUGAAAAAAAUUAGAGUUACAACAUUUUUUUAUUUUUUUUAUUUUUUAAAGGAAAAGAAAUAAAACCCUAACCGACUCCUUUUGAAAGGAAAAUCAUGUCUACAAAAAAUUGAAUUCAAGUAUGGGAGUCAAGUUACUUAUUGGGAAGGUACCAUAGGGUAGCACCUCUCUAAGCCUUAAAGAGGUAUUUACUAAACAAGUGGAGGGAGAUAAGGUAAUUGACAAAUAGACUAAUAGACUAAUAGAUAUUGAGAGACAACAAGAACAACAUACACCAAGGCAAUGACAAUAAUAGAUAAAAGGAUAGAACAACCAAAACAAGGCAUGAAUAUGAAACUAAUAAAUCAAGAAAGGAAGGAAACAUACUUCAAGAAGUGCGUAAAAUAGGGCAAUAUACUUACAUAGAAAAGAGGGUUCACUCACAAAAAAGAUAAGAGAUAUAAAAUCAAAAUAAGACUAUCAAUCAUGUACAAUAUAUAUAUAUAUAUACACAAUUAAAACUGAGAAGCAAGUGAUGCUUAAACAUAGAUCAAGGUGAACUAAAAUAUGCUAAACAUGUAUAGGUUUCAAAACUGGCAACCUCAAAAUAAAUGCCAAUAAAAUAGUAAAAGGGGAUAUAUCAUACAAAGGUGUGUUGAUCUAACAUGUACAAGAUGUCUAUUAUACAAAUUAAUGAUCAAAGAAGAUAAAAAACAUGCAGAAAGGAAUUGAAAUAAAACAAAUGUACAAAGUAUAGAACAAGAGGAUAGAACAUAGGUGCUUACAAAAUAAAUCAAAAAUAAAUAAUUAGAAAGAGGAUAAAAUCAUAAAAAAAAAUUGCACAACAUCCCUAGAGUGAAAACAAUAUAAUCCAAAAUUCCAUAGAGCCUAAUUAUACAACAAUUGUCUUAGAUUUAUAUGAAAAAAAAAUCAUAAUUGUAGAUUCAAAUAAGCACAACAAGCACAACAAGAUUAAAUUAAAUCUCAAGCUUGAGAAUUGAUUUUGGAGUGAAAACAAAGCUUAAUGGAUUAUUUAAGAAAUCUAGUAUAUUGGAAAAACAUAAAAGACAAUUUGAAAACCCAUGAGCUAAUUUAGAUUUACAAAAAUACUUCGGGUGUCAACAAUAGGGCAAAAUCUAGACCUUUUGAAAAACUAAUUUAAUAUAUAAGUUUGGAGAAGGAUUUUCGAUCAAAAAUAAAAAAUUGUUUGACACAUUUAAUAAUUUCAAAACAUCAUCCAGUCAUAGAAAAUAUUUUAGGGAAAACCAAAAUGGUCCAAAUUAAAUUAAACAUUUUAGGAGUCUAAAAUAGGGUAAUUGGUGGGUGGUUUUUAAGAAUCCAAAAGUAUAGGCCCUUUCCAAUACACAAAUUAAUUUUCAUGAAUUAAUCUACAUCUCUUACUCAUUGAUCAUCAUGAAGAGAAGCUUAUGAAUCCUAGAGGGUAUUAUAUUUAUUUUAGAAUUGUGAAAUUUAUCCAUGUUUACAAAAUUAAGAAAAUCUGAAAAUCAUUUGUUUAAAAAUGAGUGAUUUAGGUCAAAGAAAUGUGUCAUGGAUUAGUCCAUAGGGUGAACAUUCCUUCCUAACCCUUAAAUGAGUGUGAAAUCAGACCCAAAAAAGGCAUGGAGGGCCAAGGAACACUCAUGUAUGGAAAGGAAGGUUGGAUUUCACAAAGAAAUGGCCAUGGAUGUGGGUAUUCUUAUGUGAAAUCAUCCAUUAUGUGUGCUGAAAGAAUAAAAAUUAUUAACUAGAUGAAAAACAAUUUUCUUUGGCCUUAGACAACCAUGGGAAAGGUUUAUAGGUGUUGAGAAAGGCCUACGUAGAAAACCAUGUGAAAAUCCAUUUGAAAUUCAUGUAAAAAACACACAUUGCACACUUAAAAGGAGAGGAGUGUGUGUGUUGGAGAUCACAUAUUAAAACGAAAGGCUUUUUAGUAAGAAACAUAUGCAAUUUUCAAAUUUCACACUUAAAAGGUGUGCCCUUUAAGGAUUACAUAAAGAAAGAAUUACACUAGAAUUAGCACACUGAAAGGACACGCACAAUACUCAAAUUGCACAUUGAAGAGAAUACGUAAAACCAGAUUGUGCAUUGAAGGAAACACAUACUAGAAAUAACGCAUUGAAUGGUUACGUCCAAUACUCAAAUUGCGCAUUGAAGAGAAUGUGUAAAAUAAGAUUGUGUAUUGAUUACUACUCAAAAAGUGUUAUUUUGUAGCUUGUAAUUAACUCUUUUAAACACUUUUGAGUAGUAGUUAUUACCUUUUAACUCAAUUAACAUAUUAAGUACCUUUGCAAUCGUUUCUAAUCAAAUUGUGUUAAGUUUUGGUGUUUUUGAUAGUAAUUUGAUCACCAAAGCAAUCCAAGAUUGAGGAGAGUUCUAUGGAAUCCAUGGUAAAGCAAUUGGAAGCUCAUUUACAUGAAGAACCCAAGCUUUGAAGCUUUAUAGUCCUUUUCCAUAAGCAAAUCAUGAAUGCAAGGAGGGAAAGCAAAGAGAGAAAUCUAACAUGAAGAAUUCAAGAGGAAAGCAACUUUUGGAGCACUUCUUGGAGCUCAUUUCAUGCAUACUAAAUGUCAUUUCAAAGCUCGGGAAGUCAGCAAUCAAACGCUUCAAAUGGUACGCAAAUCAAAGUUGAAAUGAAGAAGUUAGAGCCAUUGGAAGCCAAUCACACCAAGCUAAAGGCCAAUUUCGCAGGCUGCGAAAUUACAAGGUGAUGGCUGCGAAAUCACAAGGUGAUGGCUGCGAAAUUAGCCUUUGGCUGCGAAAUGGAGACCUUCAGCUUGCGAAAUUUCGCAGCCAUCUUGCAUGCCUGCGAAAUCCUCUUGAGUGCUUCCAGAUAUUUGCGACCGACACUUUUAGAUUUUUUUCUUCAGAUAUUUGAUGUUUAAAUCCCCAUUUUCUCCUUGUAAUCAACCAAUCAUAGGAUUCCUUAGUUAUUAAGUAAGAACAAAGGGUGAAUAACCUCAUAUAUAUUUUUUGUAAUUUUCAUUACACACAUAUCUCGGGAGCUUGUUCUCAGAGACAAUUUUUUGUAUAGUUUUGAAGGAAGUAAAAUGUAGAGCUUUGCUCUACCUUACUUACUCAAUUUGAUUGUAUUUUUCUUACUAUCCAAACAAGCUCUGAGGAUGUUUCCUCAAAGAAUGAGUGGCUAGACUUUUUGUCUCUUGGAGCUAAGGUGGCUGGGUAAGGUCCCGAGUGCAAGAAUUGGUAGUUUUGUUGUUUCAGCUGUUAAUGAAGAGAAAGUGUGACCCGUUAAUGGUUUCUAUGUUUUUAGUUAACUUAAAACACCUUUAACUCACCUGGGCCAACACUUGGUAAGGCAAGUGAUCUUCGUUCAUUGAGAUGCACUAGUUUACCUCUUGCGAGCUUUUGGGAGGUGACUUGAAGGUAUGAUUUUCUAGAAUUGCCAACACUUGGUAAGAUUUUGGACUCUAAGGAGACAUCCAUUAGUUAUCUCUUGCGAGCUUGAGAAGGGAAGUCCAAGGUUAAUGAUCACCUUGAAUGGUAAAUGCUAGGUGAGAGGCACGAGCCAUUGCAAGUUACAUCAGUGAGAGAGAUUUAGCAUUUGAACUCAUUAAAGGGAAGUAUCUGUACCACACCGAUUAGAGAAUUAACUAUAUGUUAAUUCUCUAAUACGAGGAAAAGAUUCAAGUGACCGGAACUCUUUUUUUGCAUAAGGAGCCUGACCCCAGUGAUCCUAAAACUCUAAGAAACGCUUUUCUUUAUAAGUAAUUCCCAAUAUUUUAUUUUAUUUAGCUUAAAACCAAUCCUUUUUAAACCAAAGUUUAUGUUUUCUUUUGAAGCUAACCUUGAAAUGAAAAACCAUCAAUUCAACUUUGAAUUAGUAUCGGUUGUAAGUUAAAAACCCUUCCCAGUGAACGAUCCUGAGCCACUAUGCUAUAUUAGCUAAGGCUAUCCUAGUGCAUGGUGAAAUAGGUUAUAAAUUUUGUUGAUUACUCCUGUCUGAGGGCCAAACUCAAGGUACACCAGCUAGGCACGCAAUCAUGUAUAAAAGAGAAUGCAUAAAAGUAAGAUUGCACACUGAAAGGAACUAUGCAAAAUUAGAUUGUGCACUGAAGGGGGACUACACAUAAAGAGAGACUAGAAUUCACUAGUGUACAUUGAAAAAAUGGAAGAAAAUCAAAUUGUGUACUAAAGGGGUGCGCAAUUUGAAAUUGCAUACUUAAAGAGAACGUAAGAAGGCACUGAAUAAAGGAAUGCACAAUCUAAAACUACUCACUUAAAAGUGCACGGGAUACAAGUGCCAAAAAAAAAGGCACGCUUAAACAAUUGCUCAACUCAAACUAGCACACCUAAGAAGUGCACAAUUUGAAAUUGAAGGUUGGCCAUGAACAAGAAAACACGUGCACAAACUGAGUGACUCUUAGCACAUAAUGAAGGUGUGCAAUCUAGAUGAAAAACAUCAAAAAGCACACCAAAAUGCACAAUCUAAAGGCAAACACCAUAAUGUGCAUUGGAAGAUGCACAAACUAAGAAUAAGAACAUUAUAGCACACUAGCAAGUGUGCAAACUGAACGAAAAACACUCCAAUGCACAUUAAUUGGCAUGUAGACUGGAUAAAAGCCUUUGAAUGAUGCUUGAAAAACAAGUUUGAAGAAGAAUUUUAAAAUCAAAUUUGUAAAGAAAAUCAAAAUUAAAACCAUAUCGAAAUUUGUUAGGAACUCUGAAUUACUCCAUUCCCAUGCCCUAAAUCGUGUAGGGUGCAUGCAAAUCUAUCAUAGUCUCUCUAAAUGUAUUGUAAUAGAUAAAAAAAAUAUUCAAAAACAAUAUGGAUACCAUAGAAAACAUAGAUCUAGAGAAUAAAGUCAUAUACCUUUGAUUCGGAUGUUCCCGGAUCAAUUCCAAUCGAUGUAGAUAACACCAAAGUCAUAAUGGAUCUCAUAAACACCAUGAUCUUCUGCCCAAUGACUCUUCCUUGUGCCUAGGCACUAAGAUGGUGGAGACUAGGGUUCUCUCUCUAGACUGAUGGAGAGAAUGAAAAGACUUGGAAACCCUAACCCCUAAAAGGGUAUUUAUAGGCUUCUUAUUGGGCUUAAGAGACUUAAGCCCACCAUAGGCUUGGGUCACUUAAUCUAUCCUAAAAAUGUUGUUAAUUGAUUAAUUAACCAUACCAGGCCAUAAUUAAUCAAUUAGCCUAAUCUAGGCAUACCACUCACUUAUCCUCAUGCAACCUUGCAUAAUUACCAAAAUACCCUUAUGCACAAAAGUGAACUAAGAACCCAUCCAACCCUCAUAAACUGUGUCAUCAAGGAAUAUGAGCUCAAAUUGAGGACCACUAGGACCCAUAGGAGUAUUGGCUUCCUCGAAAUCAAAUUUUGAAAUGGACUCAACAUCCUACUACAAAAAGCCAAGUACACUCCAACACCCUAUGUAUAUUACAACGAGACACCAUGUGCUCAAGUCUAUGACCUACUAUCUACUACAUGCAGACUUCCCAUGAACCGGUGUUUGUAAUCUAAUAAGGUAGUGCUAUCACCUAUCAAGAUUACCUUUCCAAUCCUUAAGUUGGAUAUCUCACUUAUUAUGUGAUCAAUUGACAUACUCCAACUCCAAGGAGCAUAUGUCAAAUUCCACUAAAUGAAUUAUUAUGGCCAUAGAUUUCGUGAUCAUAUGUCCUUUGGAUCACUCAAGGGGACACACUGUCUCAAUCUUAUGAGAUAUCAUGCUGCCUCUAUUGAGAAUACCUGUUGCCACUAGCUUCCAUCAACAAGAACCCAGUCCAUAGGGAUAUAUGACCACUUUAGGGUCUCACCCAUAGGUUAAAGUCUUCUGUUGAUUUUGGCAUAAGCUCAAUAUCCUUUCAAGGUUAAGAGUCCAUGCACUAUAGUAGCAUGGUGAAUCAUGACAAUUGAUAACCUUGCAUCAUGAUUCACCGUAGGUCCUGUCUAGUGUGCAUCACAUACACUAGUGCACUCACCAUGGAAAGCAUAUCCCAAUGGCCAAGAUAAGCCAUCCCUCAAAUUAGGAGGUGGUGCACUACAGUCUUUACUGGAUUGCCCAAAUCCAUGGACCAACUAUGGACAGUUAUCUACUUACAAGGAACCCAUGACUUGUAUCUUUUGUGAAAUUCCUAAUGCACCCAAGUCAUUUACAAAGAAAAAGAUGUGGACUAAAUGCUCAAAUCAAUGUCAACACACCAACGGGAUAGUAAGGGGAUAGUUAAGUUUAACUUUGCUACAUGAUGUCUUAUUUUUAGGGGCUUAAUCGCAACAAAGUCACCAAAAUGAGAUUAAAGAAAAACAAAAUAGAAAACUAAAUCAAGCAAAGCCUUAUUUCAUAAAUCAUCAAUGGACUUGACAACAAGUGAAAAAUCCAAAAGAAUUUUAAACCAAGUCGAAAAAAACUUCUAGACCAUUACACAAUAAAGUGAAUCAUUAAUUAAAACAAUUUUUAAGUAAUCUCAUUGAAUCCAAAGAUGAACAACAAAAGAAAAAAACAUGUAUUACAAAUAAGAAUCAACAAUCUAAUGUGUGACCUCCAAUAUCCACACCCAACCAACAAACAAUCUCUAGAAUCAGCAUAAGGAAGGAGAAGAACAACAAAUGAUAAUGAAAACAUGAAAUCAAAGUGAUCUUACCAAGAAUUCUCUCCUUAAGCAAGUGUUGAUCAGCUUCUAGUAUUUUUUUUUUCUUAUCCUUUAAGCAAGAAGAUCUUCUAAAUUCAUUAAAGUUCUUUCUCCAUAUAAAAAGAAAAUGGUAGAGUAUUCCUCCCAAAUGUAAGAGAGUCCCCUUCCAUUUAUCCUUCCAUAAUCUUCUUUCUUGCCAAAUGAGUCUUCCAAGACUUCUUUUAUAGAGUAAGGGAUAGGGAAGGUUUGGCCACUUGUGCUCAUCUCCUUCUAUGGUCACACUCUUUUAAAACCCCUAAAAAAUACUUCCCUAAAUCAAUCUCAAACUCCUCUAAAAAGUAAAGCAAAAACUUGAGACUAAAGCCCACAAAAAAAAAAAAAAAAAAAAACACAUAAACCAAGCCUAGGGGCUACUAAAAUCUCAUUGCGAAUUUAGAAACUCCUUCUAAAAGGCCUUAAAAAGUCCCAAGAGUCAGUGACAAACUAAAUGGUGGGUGAACCACACCACAGGGCGCAAUGAAUGACUAAAUAAAAGAGAAUCCUAAGCGCAUACUAGAAGGGAGUGGAAGACGGGGGAAACAAGUAUGAAAUAACAUGUGCUAUGAGGACAAAAUUGAGGGUCUACAACCAAAAGUAGACUAGCAUUACAAAAAGAAUCAACUUAAUUGGUUGGGAAUAGGUUCAACUAGUCACCCUUUCCUAGUCGCGGUCCAAUCUAGUUUGCAUAAAACUUUAUUAUUAUUUUUUAGAUAUCAUGUGUUCUCGGUUAAGGCAAACCCAUACCUAGUCAAGGCCUAAUCGAACCUCAAAAAGAACAAAAGUCACUUGUUAUAAAUUUAUUACCUAACGACUAGUUAACCGAUAAAAAAGAAGCUCAACUAAGAAAGGUUAGCUUUCUGCUUUUUGGGUGUUUGAGGUUGAAAACCUAUAAAAAAAGAGCUUUCAUUCAUUUGUACCAAGAUAAUUAUUGCAUUGAAUUCCCUAUCUACCAUUUUCUUUCAUUCAAAGUUCUCAACUCCUUAUGCAUUAUUCUUUCACUUGCAAAUCAUCCUUAGUGCAGCUUCUAUGUUCAUCCUAACUUUUUGUGUAUUCAAGCAUUUAUUGUGCUAGAUGGAGUGUUAUUAAACCUUCAUAUAUUUGAGUAAGGUUGACCAUUGAAGUUUCAAGUUGGUGUUAAACUGAAGGAGAUUUGUGUACAUGCCCAUUAGAACCCUCACUUGGAAAGGGGUUGAGGAGAAGUGAAUUGAAGCGAAAAUUGCCUAAUAACUAUAAAAGCUGAGUUUGUAUCACUUUAACUCUAUCUUCUUCCAUUCAUUGAACUAUUAUUUGUGUAAUUAAAGGUUUUCUUUCUUUAAUGUUUUUUAAACCCAAUUUGCCUCACCCGCCCCCCCUUCUCUUGGGUAUUUUACUUAAUUGUUUCAUAGAAUGCCCUUGAAAAUGCCUAGAACAAGGGCAACAAGCUUACAUAAGAAAAAAUUAAUUAAUUUAUUAAUAAAAGAAGAUAUUUAUCAUGAAAUCAAGGAUCGCCCAACAUGUACAAGAAGUUUGUAACUUAAAUCAAAUGUCAAAAGUAGCUUAGCUAGCAUCAAAUGGGACUAAUUCAACAAGAUAUACAAAGUGUGAAAAACCAAGACAACAUGCUAAUGUGUGAAAGCUUGUAUUUAAGAAGAUUCAAGAUGAAAUAAAAAUCAAGGCAAAAAUUAUCUAACAUAUAAAAGAUUGUUAGGACAUUGAGUCUUGUUUAUAUGUUAGCAAUUUUGAAUAAAUUUAUGUUUAACCAUGGAAGUUUUUUUAAAUAGUGACUUACUUUCCAUUGAAAAUCAAGGGUUGUUAUUCGUUCAACUUGGAAGUCACAGGUAUGUCUAAAAAGGUUUGGCUUGUGGCAUAUAAAGGCUUAUUUGAGGUAUAAAAUGCUCAGUAUCAUUUUUUAGCUUAAAAUGUUUUAAAAUUGAUUUCUCAAAAAACAAGGGACACUCAAGCAGUUCAUCCCACUCAAGUGGUUAGAGCGUUGAAGCGGUCUAAGUUUGCUCAAACAGUCAUGAUAGUCCCACCAAGUUUAGAAACAUAUUUUGAAUGAAUUUCAAUCCAACUGUAAUUUGGAAACUUGUGAUAGUAAAAUCCUUAUGGCUUUUGCCUAUAAAUACCAGCCUUGUAACCCUUUGAGGGUUAGAGAAUCAGGUUAAGAGAUUAGAGAUUGUAGAGAUCUAAUUUUUAGAGACCUCUCAUUCUUUAGAGGUACUCUUUGAGAGGAAAGAAUAAUUAACCUAAUAUCUUGCAAGGCUAUUCUAAAAGGUUUAUAUUUAUAUUUGUUCCUGCAUAUAUUCUGGUUGAAGAUAGUGAAUAAAUUUGAUUGAUUGGUUAAUUGGUUAUUAAGUUUGUUGAUUUGGUAAUCUUGUGGUGGUUAUACCUAGAAUCAAUUAUUGAUUUGUUGGGAUUAUUUUUGAGUUUGUUAGGUUGGUUAUUCUUGUGGUUAUUAUCCCUAACAUUCUUCAACCAAUAUUGUUAAUAUUUGGAUAUCAAUUAACCAUAAAAAUCAUAUUUUUAUUUUUAAUAUCCAAGUUAUCCUUAUAAUAUCUUGGAUAAGAAAAGCGAUCAUAAUUUACAAAUAUUGAUUUAAAAAUUUAAAAUCACUCAUUCAUCUCUCCUUUAGGUGUUCCUUAUUGGACUUUUGAUUAUUCAAAGUGUAUUCAGAGCAAUACCCAUAUUUUUUCAAAGAUGUCUUAAAAAAUUUCAAAAGUCAAAGGAACCCAAAUAAACACUAACUAAUACAAAUUUCAAUAAACAUUUCAUAACUCAAAAAUAGGACAAUAUACAAACACAUAAAAGAUUGAUUUAUUCCAUAAGCAUAACAAAUAAUUUUUUAACAAGGCCAAAUGUCUAGAUAAAAUUACAAGUCUUAAAAAAAAAAAAAAAAUGAAUGAAUUGGGAUUGAUUCACAAAAGCAUUUAGUUGCUCCAAAAUAGGGCAACAAACAAGCAAUUGAGAGAAAUGAAUUAUUUAAAAAGCUUGGGAAAGAGUUUUCCAAUAAGGCAAAAAAUCUUUAACACAUUCAAGAUUUCAAAAUCCAUUUGAAGCUUCAAAAAUAAUUUAGAGCAUGUCAAAUGGCCUAGAUUUACAAAUAUAUUUUGGGACUAAAAAAUAGGGCAACAAGUAAUCGACACUUACAAACAAUAUAUGCAAGCUUAAACAUAAACCUAAAUUUUUAUGCAUAGACAAUCCAACAUUUCAACCCCUUAAUAAGCAUGACAAGAGCUUAUAAGGGCUAAUAAUAAUCUUAUUCAUCUUAGGUUUCAUGGAUAGUUCAUGUCUCCAAAAUAAAGAAAAAUUGAAAAUCAAAUGUUUAGAAAAUUGAGUGAUGUUGGCCAAGGGCAUAGGUCAUAGUUCAACUAUAAGGCUCUCUCACAUUCUCAGCCCCCAAAUGAACAUGAAAUUAAGUUCAUAAAAGGCAUGGAAUGCCAAAUUAUACUCAGAUUUGGAAAAAAAAAAAUUGUUGAAAUGCACAUAAAAGUAGAUUAUAAGGGUAUGUGUUUUCAUGUAAAUUCAAGUUAUUUAUGUCAAGGAACGUGGCUGUCAUUAAUAACCAUAAAUUAGCCACAAAUUCAAGUCCCUAAUGAUCAUAGAAGUAUAUUCACAAGGGUUGAAAAAUGACUUUCAGUGCUCCACAAUAGUUCCUUGGUGGCCCAUUGCUACUCACACUAUUUACCUUUUUUUUAGCCACCUUAGAGACUCUGGUUGAGGGAUUUAUCUAACCCCAUUGUGACUUUUAGCAACCCUAAUUUAGACUUAGGCUUUUCCUUCCUUUUUAGGAUAGCUUUUAGGUGCACUAUUAAGAUAGUACACUUAGGCAUGUUUAGGUCACUUAGACAAUGUCCUGAUCACUAUAGGUCACUUAGACACUAUCCUAAACCACCUAGGCCCAUUAAGACACAUUAGGCUUACCUAGGUCACUUAGGCUCACUUAGGCACACUUGGCCCAUUAGACAUUUUUAGCAUGACUUGUAUGAGUUGCAUGGUUGCAUGGCUUGUGUGGCUCAGUUAUUUAUUUAUUUAUUUUUAUUUUUAUUUUUAUUUUUAUUUUUAUUUUUAUCAUUAUCAAUCACUUGUUUAUUUUUAUUUGUUAACUUCCUUUUUAUAUUAUUUUUCUUAUUUUUUUAAUUAACUUAUUUAUUUAUUAUUGUUUUAUCGUUUUCUAACUUAUUUACUUAUUUAUUCAUUCAUUCAAUUAUUUAAUUUAAUAAAUUUCAUGCUUUUGCAAGGAAACUUACCAUUGGAGUUUAAGAAAUGUGGGACUCUCCUUGGAAGACGUUUUAGGGGAGUUUUAAAUUUUGAGGAUUUGUUUUGGUGCGGAAGAUAUGGAGAUGGCAUGGGAGUCUAAGGAAAGUGAGACUCUCCUUGGAAGGCAUUUUUGGAAAGUUUGAAAUUCUAAGGAUUUGUUUUGGUAAGGAAGAUAUGGAUAUCGGGAGUUUAAUUAGACUCCUUGAGAAUAAUUGAGAGUCCACAACUACAUGUAUUUUUUAAUAUAAAAAGGAGAAUUUGAACUGAAAUGGGAUUUUUGGAUGGGAAGAUUGGAAAAAAAAGAAAAGAAAAACGGGAGACUAUUAUUGGAGAAUGGAUUCACGGAUGAGAGGAAUUCUUUUAGACAUCAUGUCAUUAAUGGAAUUAUGUGCGCCGCCUUCAAAAGGGAGAACCACCCUUGGAAAGGAGAGGUUGCCACUUAAAAUCCACAAGACGUUUACAUUGAAGGAACACGUACAGCCCACAUAAAAGAACACGCACCAUAAGUUUACAAAAUCGACCACACUGCCAAAUUUUUGGAGCAAACAACCAGCAGGCAUUCUGGACAUGUUCCAUGGAGAUUGGGGAAGAAACAGCUGCACCAUCAAUAUAGAGAAGAGGGCUACCACUUUGAGUCUUCAUUACGCAUCAGAUUUUGAUCCAAAGAGAAUCAUUCACAACCCGGAAAGAAUAUACGGACACAUGAUAUGUGUGGGAUUUUCCAUAGGUUGCAGGCACCAUCUUGGGGAGAGCUUUUUUUCUGGAGAGAACAUGCCUACAUAGCCCAUGCACAGCCUGCACCUCUUCACAACUGUCAUCCAUGAUCAAAGUCACAGCCGGCUCCAAGCACCAUUGCUCCAUACAGACGCAGCCGUCAUGCUCCGUCCAUUGAGUGGCGAUCACUCCACCACGCACCAUGAGAGGCAUCAAUUGAUGGGGCAUCAAAGCUGAUCCCUUAGGAGUCACUAGAUUUUAUUAAGACUUUGUUGGCUGCGGUUUUGGAGAUCACAUAGCUGCAUAUUUAGAAGAUGCAACAGACUGCCGUGGCAAGACGCAUAGGAAGGAAAGGUGAUGUCCAGAGAAUGAGGAGAAUAAUCACACUACCAACAAUGCAUUACUGUCAUUUGGUGCAUUCCUCGAACCCAAAACCCUCUCUCAAUUCCAAACGCGUUUGGGAUUCACUGUUUCUGCAAGUCUCGAUGCAUUUCGGUUUAUUAAAGGUCAUCCUUCCGUCCAAUUGCACCCCGAGAUUGACCGACAGUGGAGUGCACGUUUUGGAGCCCUUGUAAUCAGAAGAUAGAUGGGACCCCUGCCACUUAAUGAUGACGCACUCCGGAUUGGACCCCAAGCCCACUCUCGCAUGGCUUGCAUGGCCACCCCUUUUGUACAUUAUUUUAAAGCCCGCAUGACUCAGUCCUUAAUUCUUCUUGCAUGUUUUCCAAAAUGGAUUUUCAAAGAUCCAUUCUUUUUCAAUUUUCUGGUGAAAUAUUAGACAGUUGUAGUGAGGACUAUCUCCCAAAUUUUUACCAAGUUAGUGAAAGAUCUCCUGGAAAUGAUUGUAUACCAGUCGGCCGGGUUGGAAUUUUUGAAUUCAUCUAGACAGUACAAACUGAUUCUGGCUAGCCCAUGCAGCCUUUUGAGUUUGUGGAAAUGGCAGCGUACAUGAAGAACAGAUGGCAACAUGCUUGCCUCUCGCAUUGAAGCUUUCACCAUCUAUUGCAGCGACGGAGCACAUAUCCUCAAAGCAUUCACUUGGGAAAAGCUAUUGGAUUCCAUAAUCCCUCUAGAUCGUUCUCUCUUCUAGCCGACUUUAGCCAGAACCAAAUGCAAUCUGGUUAUCUUUUCCAGAGCCAUCAUGAGGGAACUGGCUUCAGAGUUUCUGGAACUCUUCAUCCCUCACCGGAAAUCACCAAAACUUUGAACAACAGGGAGUCCCGGAAAGUGCCAAAAGAGAGCAGAAUGUAGUUAGGAAUUCAACACCAGCAAGACAGUCUCAGUCAGGUCUCCAGGCUCCACCCAUACAGUUGCCAACUUGGUGCACACCAUCCUCCUCUUAUUACUUCUUUUCUUUCCUGUGAACUUACACAUUUUUAAUCUGGAUUUCAAAAUCUUUCCCAUUAAAUAACUCCAGUUUUCUUUAAAAUUCCAUCCGUAGGAGUUCAUAGAUAUUGAAAUCCAGAUUUCAACAAAUCAUUGUUGCCACCUUCCUUCAAGCAUGCAUUUUCACUAUUUUCUUUGAUUUUUAAUUAUUUUCAUAAUUUUGUUGAUUUUUAACCAGCAUGAACAAACUUCAUGGUGCCAAAUAAUGGAAUUCAUUGAACCAACUCAUGCAAAAUUAAUUUGGGGAAUUGGUGGAACCCCUACAUAAAAUCAAUUUUUUCAAAACUCUUCCUUGCUGCAUGUUUUCACUCAACCACUGACCCUUUAUCUUUAAAAUUCGUUUUAGCAACUUCAGAAUAUUUUUAAAAAAUUUAUAAAACUUGUAUGAUUUUCUUCACUUCUUGAACUUGAAUUUAAAAUUUUGUUUGAGUUAGAAAGCAAUUUUGGAAUAGAAUAUAUAAAUGAGUUUUUAGGAGAGCUCUGUUUUCACCCAAUUCUGGACACAUGAAAUAUUUUUGUAACAAUAAAAUAAUAGAUGAAUUUUUAAAUUUGAUUCAAUAUUUUUUCUUAAUUCUAGAAUUCCUUAAAUUGAUCUCAGGCAUAUAAAAUAUUAAAAAAUAUGCAUUUUUGGGACAGAUAUGAUUUUUCAAAAUCAUACCUACUAUGCAUGAUGGAAUUUAGACAUCUGAUUAGUUAGAGUGUUUUAAAAAUAUUUUUAAGUACUCCCCGACCCUGGAUUUAUUUUUCCUAUGAUAUAGACACUUUGAACGAUGUGUGUGAUUUUUUGUACAACUUUAUGUCAUCUCUUAUUAUUUUUAAGAAUUUUUUUUAUGCAUGCUACCCUUUUUUUACCUAAUAUGGACUUUGUAGAAAUUUUGGGGUGUCUUUGCUGCAAUUUGUCCUUUGAAUGAGUGUUCGGUUUUUAGUAUGUUGAUUUAGAUUUGUAGGAUUUGUUUCCUGAAAUUUUUUGUAAUUAAAUUCCACUCCAAGAUAUUUUUUUAUAAAUUGUUUUGUGAUGCUCCCUUUUCUAAUUGCAUGAUGAUGACCUUGUACUUUGCUUGAAUUUGUUAUCUGUUUUUGGAGUUAUUUGACUUAUCUUGGCUCAAUUUUGACUUUGAUACUGUAUAUUAGACAUAAUGAAUAUGUUAUAGGAUUUAUACUUGUCCUAACCACUCUAGCAAUUUUGGGGAAUCUUAUAAAUUAUGCAUGCUAUCCAGGUACACUCUCUAUCACUUACUUUUCGGAAUUUUAUGAACAUGCAUGUUGUUGUGAGCCUUAUCCAUGUUUGAUUCCAUCUUUAGGUGCCUAGAUGUCUGUUCGAUUGGCUCUGAUUAAAUACAUGUCGUGUAUUAUAUUUUUGUGCUAACUUUAAUGUCUUAUGAUAGCGCUUGAGAGGCAGUCCAAGUACAUAUCCUAACAUUUCUUUGUGAUUGUGAUUUGAUCUCUUUUUUGGCAUGCUAGUUUUGAAAUCACCUUAGUCUACUAGGUACCUUCAAUCAAUUGAUUAAUUGCCACUUUUCCCUCAACUUAGUCAUUAUAGACCUCUUUAGGGCUUAGAGGGGUGCUACCUCUUAGAGGUACCUUCCCAAUAGGUAACCUGAUCCUCGGACCAAGACUCGGGUUUUUCAAGCCUUGUUUUCCAAAAACUAUUGAGUCACUUCUUUAGGGUUUUCUUUCUUGUUUUAUUUUCCAUUUUAAAAUAAAAUAAAAUAAGUGGCGACUCCAACUUUUCCAAAACUAAUUUUUCACCAAUAAAAAUAAGUCUCACUGAUUGAGUGAGAACACACAUGAAAAAUGCGGGUCCACAAAUUGGUUUUAAAAAUACUUGAAAAAUUAUAAAAUUGAGAGAAACUACUUAUAUUUUCAAGCAAAAUAGUAAGACUAAAGUCCAUGUCUAUGGACCUAAACUUUGGCCAUGAGAUUGACCAUCAAGGUGAGUUUGAAAUUCCAUUAAAAAAAUUAUUGAAAUAAGAGUUAAUAAUCAAUUUUGAGAAGAAAACAAAAAACCAAAAGCAACUUUAUAGAUUUUUUUCUAGGAAGAAAAUAUUUUGGCAAAACAUCAAACACAUGUGGUUCUCUAUUUUUCUUUUCAAAAUUAGUAAAAACUACUUCCAAAAGUAUUAAAACAAAGGAAAAUCAAAAUCCCCAAAGGAUGAACAAAAGAAAACCCAUAGGUUACAAAGUAAGACACCCAUAUCAUGUUCUGAAAAUCAAUAAGCUCCAAAAAGAAAAUAUGCCCAAGAAAUGAAUAAAUUAAAGCUAGUCAAGGUAUAAAGAAUAUCCAAACAUCAAUUAAAGUAAAUAAACAAGCAUCUAAUAAGCAUCUAGACUAAAAAAAAAAUGAAGAAAAUCAUAUUAGACACAAAAAAUGAAGAAAAAAAUACCCAAAAUCAUUCAUAUGAUCUUCCAAUAUUCACAACCCAUAUGACCAUCAUCUAAAGAAUCAAUAAAAAAAUAAAAUAAAAACUAAAACAAAAAAAAAAAUCAAAAUUAAGAACUUACGAAAGAAACUCCUCCUAAGUCUAAUACUUGGCUUCUAGUAUGGAUAAAUCUUCUUCCCCAAGCCAAUUUCACCUCCAAACUUCCAAUAUUAUUUUUUACCUUUUUUAUUUUUUAUUUUCUCAAAUUAGAUAGAGUUUUCCCUUAGAUAUCAAAGAUAUACCCUAAAAGUGUGCUCCAAGGCUCAUAUUUAUAAGUUAAGGGAGGGUAGAGAUUUUAACUCAUGUCAUCAUCUCCACUAAAACCAUGAAAGAUUUUUUUUUUUUUUUUGGAGAAACUUAUAUUUUAUUGCUCUAAUCUUUAGAACAUGGGCUACAUCUAUUUAAAUAACUAGCAAUUAGAUAAUUCCUAUGCUAAAAACAAGGACACAGAAAAAUAAAUUUGAUUAUAAUCUUAAUCUGAAUAAAAAUUUGACUAUGUACAAAAAAACUAGAAUUCAAAUAAUUCCUCAAAUCAAGGAAUCUAUCCAUUCUAAAAUUCUGAGUCCAAUUUGAACCGGUCUAAUCAAACUAACUUUCCAACACUCCCCCUCAAGUAAGGGCAUAAAUGUCUAUCAUACCCAACUUAUCCACAUUAUCUUUAAAGUCUUAUCUCAUAAUCCUUUUAGUUAAAACAAUUGCAAUUUGGCUUUUGGACGACAAAUAUGCAUAUUUCCCCUUGCUCAAAUUUUUCCCUAAUGAAAUGUCAGUCCACCUCCACAUGUUUUGUUCGAUCAUGGUGGACUAGAUUGUGGAAGAUGCUUAUAGCUGCCUUGUUGCCAGAAUACAUCAUAGUUUGAGGAUGAAUUGUAAUCUUUAGUUCUUCUAAUACUCUCUUGAUCCAUAAGACUUCACAAAUUCCAUGAGCUAUUGAUCUAAACUUAGCUUCAACACUACUUCUUGCCACCAUAUUUUGUUUUUUGCAUCUCCACUUGAUGAGAUUUCCAAACACAAAUGUACAAUAGCCAGAUGUUGACCUCUUAUCUUCUAUAGACCCUGCCCUAUCUACAUCCAUGAAGACUUCUUUCUUUAAUUGAUCAUGCUUUCCAAAGUGAAGUUCUUUUCCUAAGGUUCCUUUGAGAUAAUGUAGUAUUUUUAUAGACAACAUUCAUGUGUGUUUCAUAUGUAGAAUACAUGUACUAACUAAUUAUACUUACUUCAAAACCAAUAUUUGACUAAGUGUGAGGAAGGCAGAUGAGUUUACCAACUAGUCGUUGGUAUCUUCCUUUGUCAAUUGGAUCCUCUUUUUUUAACUGAAUCUAUCUUGUGUCUUGAAUCAAUCGGAAUGUCAUCAGGCUUGCAACCAAGCUUCCCUGUUUCAUUGAGUAACUCUAAAGUGUACUUUAUUAAUAAAUAGAGAUUCAAUUUUUAUUUAUGACAAUCUCCAUCCCUAGAAAAUACUUUAGUGUGCCAAGGUCUUUCACCUCAAUUCCUUAACUAGGAUCUUCUCAAAGCGUCAAUUUCUACAUGAUCAUUACUUGUUAAAAUCUUAUCAUCAACAUAAACUAUGAUAAAAAUUACUUUACCCUCAUUAGUAGAUUAGUAAAACAUGGUAUGAUAUGAAUGUCCAUGAAGAUAGCCAUAAUGUUUUACUACUCUAGAGAGUCUUUCAAACCAUAAACUUUAUUGGAACUUCUUUUUUCAAGUCCUGGUGGUACAUCCAUGUAAAACACCUCUUCUAAUUCCCAAUUAAAAAAAGAAUUUUUUAUGUCCAAGUGUUGAAUGGGCCAAUCAUAGUUUGUAGCUAGAGAGAAGAAUUCAGAUUAUGUUUGGUUUUUCCACCGGUGCAAAAGUCUCUUGGUAAUCUAUCUCGUAAGUCUGAGUAAAUCCUUUAGUAAACAAUCUUGCCUUAUAUCGUUCCAGCAGGCUAUUAGAUUUUUAUUUUAUUGAAAAUACCUAUUUACAUGCCACAAUUCUUUUAGCUUUUAGUUGGGUAACAAGUUCCCAUGUUCCAUUUUUUUUUUCAAAGCUUUGACUUCCUCCACAACUAGUGUUAUCCAUUUUGGAUCACCAAAUGCCUAUGCAUUUUUUGGAACUUCUAUGGAAGAAAUGUGAGAGACAAAAACAGAAAAAAUAUGAGGAUAAUCUAUGAUAAGAGACAAAAUUAGAUAUGAGAUGAAUGGUACAACAUCUAACACCUUUCCUAAGUGCUAUCUAGAUAUCUAAGCCACUAAGCACUAGGUCUACAAAAAGUGAAGAAUGUGAGGAGGAUGACGAAUUGUCCAAACCUGAUUCAAGAAUUAUCUCUCGUGUGGUUUCACGGCAAGGCGUGAGUAUAUUAGGUGCUAUACACUUCCUUGAGUAGACUUUGAACUAUGGUGUAGACUGGGUUGUUGGUGGCAAUGCUUUAUCUCCCCCUACAUUUGGCAAUUUGUCAUGUAUUGGAAAUAUUGUUGGGUUGAACUAAAUGGAAAAAAUGGAUGGAGAGAUUUAAGUGGACAUCUGAAUAGUUGAUAGGAGUCUGGAUUGGUUGCUAGUAGUGUAAGAACUAGAAAAGAAGAUUGUGGAAUUUCCCAUGACGAAGCUUCACUAGAAUUUUCCCUCUAAAGCGAAGUGUAAUAGGGUUGUUGUUCAAAGAAGGUUACAUCUUUAGAGAUGUACAUUUUUCAAUUAACAUGAUCAAAACAUCUAUAUCUUUUUUUAGUUGUUGCAUAUCCUAAAAAUAAUCAUUUUAUAACCCUAAGAUCAAGUUUACCACGAUUAUGUUAAUGAACAUGUAAAAAAGUAGUACAUUCAAAAAUUUUAAUUGGUAAAUCUUGGAAAAUUUGAGAAUAUGGGAAUGAAGCAAGCAAAACAACACUGCUAGUUUUAAAAUUAAGAACUUUCGAGGACAUCCUAUUGAUCAAAUAUGAUGUUGUAAGAAUGGUGUCCCCCUAGUGUAUUUUUCUAACAUUCAUUAAAAAUAAUAAGGAUCGAGCAACUUCUAAGAGGUGCUUAUUCUUCCUUUCGGAAACUCCAUUUUAUUGUAGAGUAUCUACACAUGAAUUUUGAUGAAUAAUCCCAAUAGUUGAUAAAAAAUCUUCAAGAACAACAUUUAUAUAUUCACUACCAUUGUCGGUUUUAAGAAUUUUAAUGAACGUUUGAAAUUGGUUUUAUAUCACUAAGUAGAAAUUUUUGAAGGUUUGAAAGACUUCGAAUUUUUCUUUAAGACGGUAAACCUAGCAAAUUCUUGAAUAAUCAUCGAUGAAGGUAAGGAACCAUUUUCUACUAGUUAGAUUUGUUGCUCAAGAUGGUCCCUAAAGAUCAUUAUGUAUGAGAAUAAAAGAUUUAAAGGGCCUAUAAGGUUUAGUAGGAAAUACUAAUACUGUAUGCUUUACCAUUUGAUACACUUCACAUUGAAAAUGGGACAACCUUUUAUUUUUAAAGAGUUUGGAAACAAGAACCAAAGAUACAGAAAGCUAGGGUGCCCUAAUCUAUAGUGCCAUGACAUUAUUUCAUGAUAUAAAAGAAAAUGUAAAACAUUUUUACCAACAAUAGCAUCUUAUCCUUUCACAACUUCACGGUCAUCAAAGUGGUAUAAACCUUCACACUCACAUGCAUUGCCAAUCGUCCUCCCCGAAGCUAAGUCCUGAAAAACAAUAACAAUAGAAGAAACUUUAGAUACACAAUUGAGAUCUUUAGUGAGUUUACUAAUGGACAAUAAAUUACAUGAUAAAUUUAGGAUAUGUAAGACUGAUUCAAGAAAAAUAGUUUUUGUUAGGGAGAUGGUUCCUUUUCUAGCAACUGGGGUAUACAACUCAUUCACAAUUUGGAAUUUCAUAUUAUCGACACGUGGUACAUAUGUUGUAAAGGAAGUGAAUGACCUUGUCAUGUGAUCUGUAGCUUUGGAAUCGAUGAUAUAAGGUUUAUAAGAAUUGGCUAACACACUAAAUGGGUAUUGAGUUCUACUUGAUAGUGUUAGAGAGCAAGAUGGCAAGGGAUUGACAUUUGGUGAACCUAAGAUAGAAGUGGAUGCGGUUUGUGGAUUAAUGAGAUGUUGCAAGACCUUUAACUACUCCUUGGUGAAUGGUGAAGUGGUUGUUUGGCUGUGAGGGUUCUCAUAUUCACUAUAGUAGGCUUUAGAAUUGUGGUUGGGUCUUAGGUUUCUCCUAGUAGGCAACUUCUUGUGGAUCUUCCAGGAUGUAUAUCUUAUGUGGCCUUGUUUUUUAUAGUAGUCACACUAAGAACAAUCACCAUUUUUUCCUGGUCAUUGGUCGUUUGGUUGAAAAGUCUCCCCACCAUGAAUAACCAGGGCAAAGUCUCAAAUUGGCUAGAUUGUUGUUUUCCCAACAUUACUUUGUACCUACUCUCUUCCCAUCGUACCUUAAAGAAAGAUCUCCCUUAUAGAUGGAAAUGACUAUUUUCCUAGGCUUCAACCUCAAACCUCAUCAAAUUCCUUGUUGCGUCUUACCAAAAAGUCAAAUGCCCUUUCUUUUAUGAGAAUCUUGCAAUAAUGGGCAUUGUCUUCACAAUAUUUCCAUUCCAUAUUAGAGAAUAAAUCAUGGUCUUGCCAUGCAUUUUAAAGGAUAUUAUAGUAUUGUGUAACAUUAUAACUACUUUAUUUGAUAUCUUCAACUUAGUUUAAAUUUCAAACAUUUGAGUAGCAUUACCUAAAUCUAAAUAAUUCUCUUGGACUGCAUCCUAAAGGUCCUUGGCGGGUAGAAAGAAAGAGGUAAGUAUGCCCAAUAGCUACCUCCAUGGAGUUGAUUAACCAGGCCAUUACCAUGUAGUUCUUAGAAUCCUAGGUUUGGUACGCAUGAUCUUCCAACUUAGGUGCUUUGUUGGCACUUGUGAGAUAGCCUAACUUUCCUUUUCCUCAUAUGAACAGUUUCACCAAUUGCGAUCAUUGGAGAAAAUUACAUUCAUUUAAUUUAUGUAUCGUAAUUUACAGGGUUGGAUUUUCUAUACCGCUUGGAUUUGUUGUUGGAAUUUGUAUUGUGAAGUCCCAGGUGAGGCAUUAGAUUCCUCCCUGUGAGUUGCACUAGUCAUAGCAGUCUUCACUAUCCUUCUACUUUUUUUUUUUCUUCUCUGGCUCUAAUACCAUGAAACCAUGAUAGGGUUUUUUUUUUUUUGGAUAAAGUUAUAUUUAUUGCUCUAAUCUUCAAAACAUGGGCUACAUCCUUUUAGAUAACAAGAAAAUAGAUAAUUCCUAUGCUAAAAAAAAAGAGAUGGAAAAAAAAAUCUGAUUCAAAUAAUUCCUCAAAUCAAGGAACCUAUCCAUUAUAAAAUUUUGAGUCCAAUUUGAACUAGUCUAACCAAACUAACUUUCCAACAUCCAACUAAGUUGAAAUUAUCUUUAAAACCCUUGAAAAUUAAAACCCAAAUAAAUAGACUCAAAACCUUAGGUUUUUAGGCCCACAAACCCCCUAAAACCAGCCUAAGAGCUAAAAAAAGGGUAAAAAAGUUUGACAAAGAAAUAAGAAUAAAAAAGGAUCAAAAUAAGGAACUUUUUAGCAAUUGGUUGAGCUGGUACCUCAAUCUACUAAAUUAGUUCCCUAGACUGGUUGAACUUACUAAACCAGUUUCCUAAACUAUUUGAAUCGAUGAAACUAAUUAAGGCAAAAAAGGGCUCGAUUCUUACUGAUGAAGCUCUAUUUGAACUCCAAACAUACUGAAACUUUAGAGACUCCUAGGGUGACACUAAAGUCAUAUUGUGGAUCCAAAACUAUAUCUAAAAAGUCUUUCAAAGUGGCUCAAAAGUCAAUGCUAAAGACGAGUAUUGAACAUCCCACCAAGGAGUAUAGGAACAAUCACACAAAGGGGGUCUAGAUGUGCUACACAAGGGCACAAAGUGAAGGACACCAAGUAUGAUCUACAACAUGUGCUAUAAAGACAAUAUGGAGAGUCUAGAUGCACUUUUUGAGAAGACCUGAUUAGCCUUCUUGUAUCCCAAACUCUUGAAAACAUUUUAUCUUCUCAUUUGUUAGGUUAGAAAAGAGAUUCCAUAAGGCACAAAAGUAAAAUACACUAGGAGUACACAUGGUGUUUCACCAUGGAUGUGAAGUUCAAUGGACGUGUUGGGGAGUAAGACUUAGGGAUAGCAUCGAUCAAGUAAAUCUAUCUAUUGUCCUUUCGAAUAGUUGAUUUGUGAUUAGAGGUCUCUAACCACAUGAUGUUUAUAUCUAAAUGGUCUCGAGAAUACUGUGUGGAUUUUCACGUAAAAAAAUAUUUGUCUUUCACAUUGACUUAUUUAUUCUUGCCCUUAUAACAAAUGGGAAAGUUAAAAAAUGAAAAAUAAUUAACUUUUGGAUUAAAAAAAUUAUCUAUGUGCCUUUUGUAAUAAUUUAUUUCUUUUUUCAAAGAAGUUAAAAAAAUAAAAAAUAAUUAAUUUUUGGACUAAAAAUUUUGUGAAGACUAUAUACCCAUGUUAAUGGCCUCAUGUGGCAUAAGAGAAUCACAAGAAUGACGAAUAAAAACAUGUGGUAUAUAUUAUUUGUCAUUGCCAUUAUUCAUUUGUUGGUGGUAAAAAGUAAGAAGUGUAGCUAUCAAAAAGAUUUUUCUUGUACCUUUUUUCUUUGUUAGAGGUGAAAAAACAUGAUUUUAACAUGACGAGCUAGGCUUAUUGAUUUAUGUUUUCGUUUUAUUUUUUUAUUUUUAUUUCUGAUUUUAUUUUCCUAGUUUGUGUUUCACAUGCCACCUUGAGGAGGGAUAUUGGAGAUAUAAAGAUAUUUGACUCUGCCUAAAUUGAAAUAAGGAGAUAUUUGACUUUUCCUAAACAAUAUAGAGGAUGGAGAUCUUUCUUGGUAGAAUCUGAUUUAUUACUUUUUAUUGUAUAUAAGAUUAUUUCUAUUUUUGUAUAUAAGGCUAAGUAUCUUUUAAAAAUAUAUAAAAAAAAGUAUUUUCUCAAUUCUUGUCAAAACUCAAAAAACAUGAUUUUAAGGUCACGGGCUAGGUUUAUUGAUCUAUAUUUUGGUUUUGUUUUAUAUUUUUAUUUCUGAUUUUUUUUUUUUUUCCAGUUUGUGGUUCAAAAUAGCCUUUGUGGCACAAUUGCUAAUAAGCAAUGACGUUAGCAAAGAUGGUGAUACUUUGAAAAAGUUUGGAAUAUUAUGAACUAUUGAGAAGUUGAAAAGCUAAUUACAUUAAUUGAUAGGAACGAUUGAAGAUUUUAAAAUGAUAAAACGUGAGUCUAACACUUGUUCUCAGUGAAAUAUUAUAAAUCACUGAGAAGUUGAAAAGCUAACAUCGAUAGGGACUUUAAAACGAUUGAAGACUUUAAAACGAUCACACUUGUUCUUAUCUUGAGGAAAAAAUAGUGUCUUAUAUACUUUAAUUCCUGGCCAAUGAAUCCGAUAGGAUAAGAAGUGAUAGGGGUAUUAAUCUAAAUUGAUUUUCUCAACUGUGAAGCAAUUCACAGAUCGCUCCUGGAAAUGAAGCUUAGCUCAGUUGCAGUUUCCUUUGCUUUUAUUACUCUCCUCAUAUUUGCAUGGAGGUUAUUGAAUUGGGUGUGGUUGAGACCAAAGAAGCUAGAGAGAUGCCUUAGGAAGCAAGGUCUGACUGGAAAUUCCUACAGGUUGUUGCAUGGGGAUUUUAGAGAGAUGUCGAGGAUGAAUAACGAAGCAAAUUCCGGACCCAUCAGCUUCUCUGAUGAUAUUGUGAAGCGAGUUCUACCAUUUUUUAAUCAUUCCAUCCAGAAAUAUGGUAUGAAAAUUAACUUCUCUUUAUCAUUGCACUAAAAUAUUUGUGGAAUUUUCCCCAAUGGAUGUUGGUUUUCUGGUCUUUUUUUUUUAUUAGUUGUUUUUCCUGUCCUUUCUUUUUCUUCUCUAAGAAGUUAUAGCCAAAUGGAAUUUCAAUGGUACUUCAAAUUUCCUUUUUCUACUUAGGAGUGUAACUUUUAAGGUUUAUUUGAUUAAAAAUAAUCAAGUAAUCCCAAAUUUAUAAAAAAAGUCCUCAUUUAAAAAAGACUCAUUUUAUAUAUAUAUAUAUAUAAAAUACUUACUAUUUUUCUUUUCAGUCUAAAAAAUGACUCAUUUUUUUAUAAAAAUAUACUCGGGAAAAACCUGUUUUUAUACACUCCUAAAAAAUUAUAAAAUACAAAUUUCAAACAGUUAUUUAAAAAUAAUUAACAUUUCAUGUACUUUUUUUUAUAUAUCAAAUUUACUACCUUUUAACGAUAUAAGUAUUAUCUUUUAUCAUUUUAGGUACUAUCUUUGACUAAUAUAAAAAAAAAUUAUUUUAUAAUUAUUUUUAUAUAGUGUGAAAACUCACUUUUUUAAAUAUACUUGUUGUUUUUCUUAUAAAAAUAACAUUCUUUUUUUUUUCUUUUAAAUUUACCAAAAAAAAUUAUAAAAAUAUUAAGAGAUGUUUAUAUAAAAAAAUAACUAAUUUUUUAGUUGAAAUAUGAAAGGGGCUAGAUUUACAAAUUUAGGAUUAUUUUAUUCUUUUUAAUUGUGCCAUUCAAUUUUUUUAUAAGCUAUAUGUAGGUAUAUAUUGGAUUAUUUACUUUGUAAGUUGUUUAAUCGUUGGGAAUUGUGAAUAGCUUUUAAAUUUUUAUGCUAAUUGUUUCUCAUCUUUUCAAAUUUUGCAUGAACUUUUGACUUUUGAUAAUUAAUCAAAUCAUUAUAAUUUUCUUUAGAUAUUUGAGCUUCUUCAAUUAGAUAGCCUUGCAUUUGCCUGCUUGACUACCCAGGUCCUUUAGAUCCUUUCUAACCAUUAUCCAACAAUGGGCAUUAAAAAUGCAGGUAAAAAUAGUUUUACAUGGUUGGGCCCAAAACCAGUAGUAAAUAUUAUGGAGCCUGAGCUGAUAAGGGAUGUUCUCUUAAAGCACAAUGUCUUUCAAAAACCACCGCCGCACCCUCUCGGCAAGCUGCUGGCUACUGGUGUUGUUGCAUUGGAAGGUGAACAAUGGACUAAACGUAGAAAGAUCAUAAACCCAGCUUUCCAUCUAGAGAAGUUGAAGGUAAUUUUAUCAUGCUUAUUUUCCCAUUCUUUCUUUAUGUUUAAUUUUAGAAAUUGUGAGAGCAGAAUAAAUACAUUAAAGGAUGGAUAUGGUUAACUUUUUGAGGCAAUAUUUAUUUGGUUAUGCAGCCAGACCCCAACUUGUUGCCUGGUUUCUCUGCAUAGCCCUCUUCUUAUAGGAAAGAAAAUAAAUUUCCGAAUGUUCCAUAAUUUAGUAGACAUAUUCACAAUUUUACUGCCUCUUGUAAUCUUUUUUCUUAUGCAUGAUAAAUUUUUUCUAAAUUUAUUAAUUGUGUUUGAAUUUGUAUAGCACAUGGUAUCGGCAUUCCAAUUGAGUUGUAGUGAUAUGGUCAAUAAAUGGGAGAAGAAGCUCUCCAUGGACGACUCAUGUGAAUUGGACAUUUGGCCCUAUCUUCAAAUUUUGACGGGAGAUGUUAUUUCAAGAACAGCAUUUGGUAGUAGCUACGAGGAAGGAAGAAGGAUAUUCCAACUCCAGAAAGAGCAAGCACAUCUUGUAGCCCAGGUUACUCAGUCAGUUUAUGUUCCAGGAUGGAGGUAGGCAAAAAAUAUUUCAAGGAAUUAAUCUGAACCUCAGUACUAAUACCCAUAUGCUAUAUCUUUCACAGUAUCACCAACAACAACAACAACAACAAUAAUAAUAAUAAUAAUAAAAAUAAAAAUGAAGAAGAAGAACAAGGGUUUGAUCCAGCAUGGGACAAAAGCAAGAAUAAAAUUAACAACUGUUAUAACAUUUAAGAACUAUAAAAUGUUUCAUUUAUUUUGUUAAUAUGGCUCUCAACUAAUAUUUGUUUAUCUUCUAAAAUGGAAGUUUUCCAAUUUUUGGCUUUCUAUUUUAAGAAAUUUCAUUUUGUUCAAAUUAAAGAAUGUAGCUGUCUUGAAAACAAAAAUCAACUUCAAGUAUCCCCUUUUCUUUUAUUGGCAGAACAUCUUAGCAAGAUGAAUGGUGAAAUACUACUAUAAAAUAUAUGUAGACCAAAUGGACAAUUAAUGUCUGGAUAGUCUCAUCUUUGGAACACCAUGGAUAUUCCGAGAAAUUGAUCAAGUACAAAGUCAUGGAUGAAAUUGCAUUAGUUGCUUCCUGUAUUUUAUUGAUCUUCAUUUACUUGGAUUACUUCCAAGCAGGUUUUUCCCAACAAAGAUAAACAGGAGAAUGAGGCAAAUUAGAAAUGAAGUCAAUGCAUUGUUGAAGGGUAUCAUUGAGAAAAGAGAGAAGGCAAUGAAAGUUGGCGAAACUGCUAAUCAUGAUUUAUUAGGUCUGCUAAUGGAAUCCAACUACAGAGAAAUGCAAGAAAAUGAUGAGAGGAAGAAUGUUGGAAUGAGCAUCAAAGAUGUCAUUGAGGAGUGUAAGCUAUUCUACUUUGCCGGCCAAGAGACUACCUCAGUUUUACUUCUGUGGACAAUGGUUCUAUUAAGCAAGCAUUCAAACUGGCAAGCUCGUGCAAGGGAAGAGGUUUUACAAGUUUUUGGUAAUAAAAAACCAGAUGGCGAUGGCUUAAAUCACCUCAAAAUUGUGAGUACCAAUCCAAUAUAUAUUCAAUAUAGUAACUAUCUCUUCUUGAAAAUAAUAUAUUACUCUUUUUCUUUUUUUCAAUCUUAAGACAAAAUAUGUUUUGUUUCUGUAUCCUUUUUUCUUUAAUUGAAAGCUAUAUGCAGAUACUUGGUAGCCCCAAUGGAAUUUUUCUUUCCUCAUCUACAUGCACAACGCAUCAGCAGUGGCCACUUGACUUUAAUGAAGAAGGGGGGACAGACUAUUCUUUUCUUUGUGUGAAUUUUUUAUUUGCUUGUUAGGUUGUUAUAAGUGUGGUGAAAACUUUAUGCAAAUACUUAGUAUCAAUCAUUUACAAGACCGAAGAUAAUCUUGAUAUUAAACUCAAGGCUACAAUAUAUAUUCAAGGGGUUCUUAGUUUGUAUUGACCAGUUACUGUAUGGUCCUAUGUACAUGAAAGUAUCUGUCAUGAAAAAAGUCAAACAAUCUCUUUCAUGACUAUAUUAAAAAAAUUCCUUCAUAGUUUGAUGUAUGCUUAUUAGUGAUCUAGUGUAUUUCAAUAAUGAAUUCUCAUGAUAAAAAUAUUUUCUAUAUUGCAGGUUACAAUGAUUUUUCAUGAGGUCCUUAGGUUAUAUCCACCAGCAUCCAUGCUCAUACGAACUGUUUUUGCCGACAGCCAAGUGGGAGGAUUGUAUUUAUCAGAUGGAGUGCUGAUCGCUUUGCCAAUCCUCCUAAUUCACCACAAUCAUGAAAUUUGGGGAGAGGAUGCAAAGGAAUUCAACCCGGGAAGAUUUUCAGAAGGAGUUUCUAAGGCAGCAAAGACCCAAGUUUCAUUUUUUCCAUUUGGUUAUGGUCCUCGGAUAUGCGUUGGACAAAAUUUUGCAAUGAUGGAAGCGAAAAUGGCUUUGGCAAUGAUCUUACAACGUUUCUCAUUUGACCUUUCCCCAUCCUAUGCUCAUGCACCUAGUAGCCUUUUAAUGCAACCCCAACAUGGUGCACACCUGAUUUUACAUGGACUUUAGCAUCAGAGUUCUUGUUAUCAGUAACAGUUAGCAAGAGCUUUAAACCUAGAUAAUGUUGAAUUUAAAAUGCCCACACUCCCUUUCACUUGAAAUAUGUGCUCUAUAAAGUCAAUAUAUUAAUAA
rnacentral:lncRNA from 1 species